rnacentral:lncRNA from 1 species
CCCGUUGUUCCAUUUCCCUGAGAGUCGGCAUAUACCUGUCAACGCUCUCCUUUCUCCUCUCAAGCAAUUGCUGCAGGUAUCGCAAUUUUUGCUUCUCCAUGAAUUUGAACUUGUCAUUUCCAUAGUGAUAAGGGCCAAUGGCUAGGACCUCUGGGUCAUAGGCUUUCUCGUUGACUUUGCGCAAUUGAUGACGGACCCUAAAUAUACUAUGCUCUAGCGAAGUGGGAGGCAUACUACGAAGCAUACUCUCGAUGUGGAUUGAAACAUGAUCUUGCACCACGGAACAGUCAUAGAUCCUAGCAUGCUGUAUUGGCUACAACAUAAUUAAUGUGAUAAUAAGCACAGAGUAAAGCAAGAUGAUGGAUUUUCAUGUUCUUGAAAUGGUUCUUCAUGUGCUUCCCUUUCAUUAAGAGCUACUUGCGAAAAAUGAUCUUAUAUAUACUCUAGCUAAUUUUUUUAUUUUGGUCAUCAUAAUAUUUUUGGGGAAAUGGAUACCCCUUAAACUAAUCUCCAAACAUCCAACACCCCCCCCCCCGGCGCCCCCUCCCCCUGGGGGCGCACCUCAAAAAAAAGAAAAAAGAAAUAAAUAAAGUGAUUUCCGAAUAAAUUUUUAGGAGAAAUUCUGCAUUUCCGUGUGAUUAUUAAUGGAAAAUGCUAACUAAGCACCGGAGUUGAACAUGUGGAGCUGGCAUAUAAUUUAAACAAAUCAAUAUAUUAGAAAAAAUUACAGAAAUGAUCUAACAGUAGAGGAUCGGAAAAGGGAAGGGAAAUUCAUGAUGACUUACUUGAUUGAAUUGGUGAUUGCUCAUUCUUCUCGCCAAGCUAGACCAAUUCUUCUCUUUUCGUGGGAUUGUGUAUUCAGUGAUAUGGGUAUAGAUAAAAUGAGACUCCGCCAAACAUCAACCUUUAAAACGAAAUACAAACACGUUUUACUUGAGACCCCACAAAAGAAAACACCUGUGAGUAGCUAGGGUCUUUCUUGCCCGAAAUAAACACCUGUGAGUAGCUAGAGGAUACCUAUAGAGCGCGAGACAACUCUCUCCAGAGAACUCGUAAAGUCGACCACUGAAAGCAGAACCGUAAAGUCGACCACGGAAAGCAGAACGACGGACGAGGUAAUCCGGACGAGCAAUUACAAUAAUGGCUGGGGAAAUUUUUUUCUGUAGCGUUUCUUCCUAAAGUUUUCAUGGACAGCUGUGUGUCUGUACGUGAUUGCAGAAGCAAAUCUCAAAUCUCAAAAAGAUUCCAGCAUUUUUUUGUCCAGUCGCUUUCUCCAUAGUUCCGUAUCGCAAUUAUAUAUCGCUCGAGCCUUGACAUAACAUCUCGGUAGCACAGAGCCAUGCGCCCUUCGAAGAAUCAAACCAUACGAGAUCUUGUGGACACUGGGCAUAUCUAGUGGGGUUGAUGCGACCGCGUAUCUACCGCACAAGAUCUUGUGGACACUGGGCUUCUCUACCCUUUUUAUCUGCAGCCCCACGGGCCUUUCACACCGCCAUAUCCAAAUGCGUUAUCUUCUGACUUGUCAAUUCCAUUCUUCUAGUCACAAGCUCAAAAAGAACCAACAACUCCAAAGGGUAGAGACGAUGAUAAUAUAGGUCAGAUAGUCUUUACAUCAAAUUAGACUAAUUAGCAUGGCUCGAUGAAUGGCACGUCAAUCGUAUUUCAGUAACGGAGGUUCCUAGCGAAAGUCAUCCUAUUCCGGUUACGUUGAAAAUGACUUCAAUCGGAGAAUUAGAUGUUUACAUAAAAUGCCCGCUUCCAUCUCCCCCUCCCAAAUAACCGCUCAAAGUGACUACACCUAGUGGUGAUAAGUUCCAAAGUGAACCGAGUCCCACAUAAAAUCGGUAAUUACCCAAAGAUGGAUCAAUUCGACUAAUUGGAAACUGGUCGUGUUUUGAUGAAAGUGAUGUUGAGAAGAUGUUGGGCUCUUAUCUUUGGCAUUCGGAAGAGGUGCUCCCCAAAAUCAGUGGUGGCUGUGAUGGUGUCGAAGCUGAGAACGCGAUCAAAAGUAAAACGGAGGAUACUGCAUGAGUAGCUUGCUAAGAGAAGUGAGAGAAAUCGAGAAGGCCAUGAAAGAACUUGUGCGGUGGAAUAAUCAUACCAGCCAAAUUGUGUACUCGCACGGCUUGUUACGUCAGACUCAGGCCUCGCACAGCUGAGACUUAAGAACGUUACUUCCUAUUCCGGUUACGUUGAAAAUGACUUCAAUCGGAGAAUCAGAUGUUUACAUAAAAUGCCCGCUUCCAUCUCCCCCUCCCAAAUAACCGCUCAAAGUGACUACACCUAGUGGUGAUAAGUUCCAAAGUGAACCGAGUCCCACAUAAAAUCGGUAAUUACCCAAAGAUGGAUCAAUUCGACUAAUUGGAAACUGGUCGUGUUUUGAUGAAAGUGAUGUUGAGAAGAUGUUGGGCUCUUAUCUUUGGCAUUCGCAAGAGGUGCUCCCCAAAAUCAGCGGUGGCUGUGAUGGUGUCGAAGCUGAGAACGCGAUCAAAAGUAAAACGGAGGAUACUGCAUGAGUAGCUUGCUAAGAGAAGUGAGAGAAAUCGAGAAGGCCAUGAAAGAACUUGUGCGGUGGAAUAAUCAUACCAGCCAAAUUGUGUACUCGCACGGCUUGUUACGUCAGACUCAGGCCUCGCACAGCUGAGACUUAAGAACGUUACUUCCGUGUAAAUGUUGAAUCAUGACCUAAAAAGGUUAUGUUCAGUACAAGUGCAAGAAUAUACAAAACACGAGAAAAGUUUUUACUUAAUAAAAUAAAUGCUAUUCGUAGCUUUAAACGGAUUGUCAUUUUCUGUAUUGAACUUUAGAUAAUUGUAGCGCUUUAUAAUUAUAUAUAUCUCAUGAACGAUAAAUAUAUAAAGAAAAAGAUAUUUGGCUGCUGGGUUUCGAGCCCAAGUCUCCGAGGCCAUGACAUGGCAUUCUUGCUUACCACUAAACUACAGCCCUCCUUCGUCAAAACAAAAAAUAUAUAUACCAUUUCGGUCUAAAUAGGUGGUUCUACAUCUAAAACCACAAAUCGGAUUUGUUUAUGCAAUUUCCAAUCCGGUCGAGUUUUUUUGCUCGCUGCUAGGUACAACCGGUGAACCAAAUGCUUACGGAAAUUUGCUUGGAUAAAAGUUGUUGAUUGAGAGGAUUCGGGUUCCAUUCUUCCUAUUGCUGACUUUAUCGGUCAUUCAAAAGCUACCAUUGCUGUAAUCUUAUUUUCUGUUUUCCACUUUUUUUCUUUUGCCAGAAUCCUCUAAUCAUACUUUUGUUGUCUUACUACGAGCUCACGAAAUUAAAUGCGUGUAUAAAAAAAAAAGAAAAGAUAAUGGAUUGAGAUUGUCUCUAAAAAUAAAAGGGUUAGUUAUUUUUUCCAUGAAUGAAAUGAGUGAAGGUAAUUAUUCUUUGAGAGGAGGAAAUAGAUGCUUGAAUUGUUGACAUUAAUUGUUAAUUUUUUAAAUAAUUUUAUGCAAAUAGAUUCUUGAAUUUCGUCUAAGACUCUGUAUAUUUGGUGAGUUGAGUAUAAUCGGCAUCCUUUCUUGCAUGAUGGAGAAUUGAGAGCUAUUUGUGUGAGAAGCAUGUUAAUUUCUUGAUCUAUAUAUGCAAAGUAUAUUCAUGACCUUUUUUUCCCAGCGAAUGAUUAUGGCGGCAAAAUGUAGGUAUUUUAGUUUCGAAAAGUAUGUGCUUUUUGACAAAUGAUAUCUUGAAAACACAGAAAAGCUUCUUCAAAUAGAGAUAUGCCAUGUGUCCUUUUUUUUAUAUGGCAGUCACGUGUGCUACAUCUACAUUACAUAUAUGACAAAAAAAAAAGAAAAAAAGAAGGAACAACAGCCAAAUUAGGGGAGGAAAUCAUAAUCAAAAGGGUCGAUAUCAUGAAGAAUCUUAAAUCGGUACAUUUAUGACAAAUUUACCAUAAACUAAUUAUUUAAUCAUAAAAAAUCCAAACUGAUGCACUUUUGAUAAAUUUACCCAAAACUAUUAUACUAGUGACGAAUUAACCCUAUGUUAGUUUUCAUUAAAUUUUUCUGUCAAAUUACUAAAUUGAAUUAUACGUGAUAGUUGACUGGUAUACCAAUUUGCGAUUUUACUCUCUGUUUGUCAUAUUUAUAUAAUUUUUUGUGGUAUUAAUCUAAUUUAACGGAUGAUAUAUUUGUUAUAAAUGUAUCAAUUUAGGAUUUUUAGCGGUUGAAUAAAUUAGUUUAUGGUAAAUUUAUCACAAAUAUAUCAAUUUUGAAUUUUUUUAUUAUCAGUCGAGAUAAGUUUGAUACAUAUAUAUUAGUUUGGAAUCUUUUAUGAUCAAGAAAUUAAUUUGAAGUAAAUUUAUUAUAUGUAUAUUAGUUUGAAAUUUCUCAGGAAAUUAAUUAUAAUCAAAAUUACAUGAUAAAACCAGAGCAACGAUCCCAAAGAUUCCGAAUGCACAAAAGUCGAAACCUUAAGCCUCAUUUGUUGCUAUGUUUAUGGGAGGAAAUCAAAUUAUGGCCAAUGGGAAUGGAACGAAAGACCUUGAUAGCAGUUGCAAAGUGGUUAGGAGUUCACUUCAAUUAGCCUCCACAGCAGAAGGCUAUUAAUGCACACGACGGAAGAAGAUGGAGAAGCAGAGGACAUCUGGCUAUCGAUAAUAGCGCAAGGUACAACAGACAAGAUUUUGAUUUUUUGUUUUUUAUCUUUUGUUUUUCUUUAGAGUAAGCACUCAACACGGCAUAGGCAUUUGAAUUUUUUUUUUCCCUAAAUGAAGGGGGAGCAACUCGCGUUUGCAUCGUCUGUUUUGAAAUAUAAGGAUCGGACUAGUAAGUAGUAAGUAGCUUAUGAUCAAAUCUCUGAUACUUUAACUCGUUUACAUGUAAAAUAUUUUCGUGUCAAUUAUAUAAUUUGUGCAAUUAAUAUAAUCACGUUACGUGAUUUUAUAGCUUGAGACUUACAAUUAGCAAGUUAGUGAUGAUGUGAGUUUCUAUGCUACUUAUGUAUUUGAGUUCUCAAACUUUUAUUUCAUUCGUCUAAGAAUUGAAAAUUGCAUUAAAAAGCAUGUGAGAGAUUCAGGUUGCUCUAUCGAUUUCUAAUGGACAGAAAUCACAUCCAGUUUACUUCAUUCCCUUUAGACGUGUUAACAGAUUGCGUGAGUAUGUACGUCUACAUGAUCAUGAAUUAAACUUGGAGACGUGCGAGUAGUCUCGGUUUCUGCCGAUUAUGGCCGAUUAUAGUUUUGUGGUUGUUUUGAUAUCUAGCUUGCUAAAUAAUGCAUAUUUAGAUAAUGCAUAUUUGGUGAUGUGGUUGACUUUUGGUAUGCUUAAAGCUUAUGCUUGCUAAUAUGUGAAAUUGAUUGCUUAAUUGUGCAAUUAAGUUCUUGGUUGUUGUUAUGGACUGUUAUUGCAAAAAAUGGAUUUUAGUAUUUAAAUAGAAAAAUACCGGGUGUUGGUUUUUUGACGCCAAAAAUGUUUAUAUAGUAUAUGAAAUCAUGAAAUUUUGAAAUGAGAGGGUACCAUGCUUACUAGUUCGAUUUAAAUGCGUGACCACGCAUGAUUAUUUUAUCGGGAUGAUUUUUAUUACGAAGAAAAUGAGCCAAGUCCAUUAUUUGAAAUUGAGGUAUUUUAGUGCAAAGUACAAUAUUUUUGGCCAAGUAUGGAUAUGUGUGUGGUUACUAUUAGAACCCGUCACCCAACAAGAGUUUGGGGAUGAUGCCUAAUUUUAUUGGAUGCCCGACAAGAGUCUGGAAGUCGGUCGCGGUGGAGGCUGGAUCAAUGCCCCUUUUUGGGAUGCUGUCUAAGCGGGAGUUUUAGAUGUUGCCAUGCUUGAUGGGGCGAGAUGAUGCCCAGUUAUGUCCAAUGACUACUGACUGGGGAGUUGACCGUGACCGAUGGGUAGUAAAAACUUGAAUAUACAUGAGUUGAGAUAGUUGCGCCUUAUUAUGGGGUAAAUGUGGUAUGGAAUGUGACGUAUCAUAAUAAUGUUACCUUAUAAUCGGGACCCAUGUAAUUGGUUGUGAUGAAAUGAUAUGUUCCAGUUAUUGAUUACGCUUGCUACGUUUAUAAGUGUAUAUGUGACGCACUAAUCUGCAGAGAUGUGCUGAGGUGAGGUAAGUUUUGUGUGACGCCUAUUUAGGCUGCCUCUGAGUGAAUUCUCGUCCUAGUCGAGAUUUAGGGUGUUGACUUGCUGAGAUUUUUAUCUCACUCUGUCGUGGUUAAAUAUUUUCAGGUCCUUAGAUGGAGAACUCAGGGCUUGAGGCUAAACGGUCCGGAGCAUAGGUGGCUCACUAGUCCUCGUUGGGUCAGACUUAUGUGUAUAGACCUGUAAGACUAAUUUGGCUUGUAUAUAAAGUGUUUUGUGAAAAUUGGUUGUCCUGCUUUUAUAUCCCAUGUUUAAUUGAUGAGAUUAUUAGUUCGCUUCCACAUGUGCAUAAAACGAAAUGGUCAGUGAUGCGUCUUAAGAUAUCGUAAAUUUUAGUCAACCGUCGAGGGAUAUGCACGUGUUUAAGAUUCUGGGCAUGACAUAUAGUGACCUAGCAUUGUCUCUCAAAAGUAAAAAAAUGAUUCAAAGUCCUUUAGUGGAGCCUUGAUUUUUUCAAUGUUGGGUUCAGUUUUUUAUCAAAAGAUUUUCUCAUUUUUUAUUAUGCUAAACUAGUUUUAAACUAGAGUUAACACUAAAACUCUAAUGAAGUUAGACAAAAGAUCAAUUCUAAACUCUUUUCUGAAUUUUUAAUUUUGUAUUACUUUUUAUUAAUUCUGGGAAAUGGACUUCGGACAAGGCCAGGGAAACCGGUCUGAUUACUGGUUUGAUCCGGACCCUAAAGAUCCGGGUUGCGUUAGGAUUCGGACCGGCCUCUAGGGCCCGGUCCUAAUGUGGUUAUGGCCCGAUGGACUCGGGCUAUAACAACAAUACGACCCAAGUUGCCAAUUUCCCCAUUUCUAGUCAUUCUAAGCCCAAUCGGCAGUCAGCCCACACGCUCAAUUCGGUCCAACCGAUUCUCUUAACCCAAUUUGCAUACUCGGCCCAAUUAAUUGAGCCCUUAACGCCUCAGUCCAAAUCAUUGGACUUUAUAAUCAGCUCGUCUUUAAUUCAACCUUGCCGGCCCCAACAAACAUAUCCCACCUAAGCUUCAUUCUGACAUUUUUUACAUUUUUUUUUAAUUUUCUAUUUUUUUAAUUUCUCUUUCCUAUAUAAUUUUAUUAUUUCCCUGCAUCUUCUUCCCCAAGAGCUCGUCGUCUUCUUCCCGAGCUUGCCUGCACCAAGAACGACGCCUCCUUCGGACAAGAUUUCGCCGAAGCUCCGGUCAUCAUUGGAUCACCCUCCGUCAGUCGUCCAUUCUGACCACCACUGGACCACCAUAUCGGCUGCCGCUGGUCUAUCAUCGACAACAAUCAAGACAAACUCAUUCUAAAUCGGCUGCGGCUUUUCGACCAAAGCAACAUUAAAAAAAUUUCGUACCAUACCAUGAGCACAUCGACAACAAUCAAGACAAACUCAUUCUAAAUCGGCUGCGGUUUUUCGACCAAAGCAACAUUAAAAAAAUUUCGUACCAUACCAUGAGCACAUCUACAUAGCAAAUGGAAGGGAAUGGGGAGCUAACUGUGGAGGACUCAAACCGCGGGCAUUGCAGGUAAGUAGGGGGGUCUCCGGCUGGAAGUUUUAUCCAUGACAAAAGUACAUCAUAUUAGAGAUAUUUAGAGUAUUUUUUAAAGAUAAUUGAGGAUAUUUUUCUUGAUUUUUCAUAUCUUUCGUAAUGGUGUAUUGAUUGUGAAUAACUUGGUUGGUUUGUUGCCUAGAUAAUCAUCUAAAAAAACCUAUAAAUAAAUUCAUGUAUUAUUUAUCAAAACACAAAAAACAUAUAGAAAAAUUCCACCAUUAUUAUUAUUAUUAUUAUUUUACUUUAUUCGUAUAUCAUCAUUUGAGAUAACUUAUGCCGCUUGGGCACUCUCCAUCAUUUUCCAAAAGUCAAUUUUUGCCGUUUUCAAGUAGUCUUCGUCAUCGUUUGCUCGUGACUUUUUUUUUGGCCAUACGAUGACAAAGGUUGAUGGUGAUGAAUCAAACCGUGUAUGUAGUUAGAAUAAGGGGUUGGUAUUUGUGAGUCUCAUCAUUUUAACUUCACUCAUCUAUAAAUAUCUUGCCUAGUGAAGUAAGUUUCCAUGUAUUUCCUUCUUUCCCUUUUCGGAUCCUCAGCUGUGUUGAGAUAUUCCCUGCACUAAACAAAAAAUUGAAGAAUGAGACCAUCUUUCUCUCUUGUAUCUAUAUUGGUGAUAAUGAUUUUAUUAAUUAUUGUGAUGGGCCUAAGUUGGCCCGUCUGCCCAUGUUGGGCCUAAAAGCCUGGCCCAUAAGAUUAGGGCCUAUGGAUGGAGGGAUACGUUGAAGAGUUGUAACUUUUGGGGGACGUCUUUUGUCGAAGGGACACGUCCUUUGGAGAGGAUGUAUUUAAGGGGGAAAAGAGAGGGAGGAAUGCACCUUUUGGAUUUACGUACGUUCCUCCUCCCUCUCUCCCUUAAAACACUCCAAAAAGAACAGUAAGAAAAAGGAGGAGAUACUCUCUUCCCCUCAAGGCAAAUUUACGUCAUCGGAUCGAACGGGAUUAGUUUUUCUUCCUCAUAUCAGCGUCGGUGUUUAAUCUGUGGCUAACAAGGUACGUUCGAUUCUGUGAUAUGCUUUAAGAUCGGUGAUACAUGUGAUUUUCCUGGGCUCGUCUUCUGCACUUGUUUUAGGGGUUCAAUUUAGUGUCGAAUUCGAUUUUUUGGGAAUCCGAUAUUCCCUACAUUGGUAUUAGAGCCGUCUUUCAUGUUUCCCGAUCCCCUUUUUAUGUUAUUGAAUUAAUUUUGCGGUCGAAAAUCGAGAGAAGCCGCUGCCAGUCGAUCGGGGACGAAAAAACCCGACACUUGCGUACUGUUCGUCCUUUUUUGUGGUCUUCUGUAAGUCAAAUUUUUUUUCUAAAAGCAUAGGAUCGAAGCCCUCGUCGAUAUGAGAAAAACGAGUGGCGAAUCGCCGCCGGACGCACCGCCACAAGCGGCUGGAACGAACGGGGGUCAUCAGCACGCGCCGACUCAGUUUCCCACAGGCACGUGUGUCGCACGUUUCGGCCCACGUGCCUGCGACGCACGCACGAAAGCCCACGCACGCGCGCGGCACGUGCCGGUCGGUUUGCCCGACCGGCCUAACCGGGCUUUCUAGUCCGAUCGGUCCAACCGGCCCGUCCGGUCCGACCGGUCCAACCCGUAGCCCGUUGACUCCGACCCGGUUGACCGUUGACCGUUGACCCAAAAAAAAAAGAAAAAAGAAAAAGAAGAAUGUGUUUCUUUUUUUAAUUAAGUCUAUGUAGAUUAUAUGUAAUCCCUUAUUUGUUCUACAUUUGUUGUUGGAACAAUGCCUCCCCUUAAGUUUUUUUUUUUGGUAGAAGGUAAGAAAUAUAUUAAGAAGAGCCAAAUGUACAAAAAGAUCUCGACACCAGUAACUUGCACUCCAAAUGUAGUAACAAAAGAAGUGGAAGGGUGACGAGAUGCAAAAGCCGCAGAGGCGGCACAACAACUACAACAACAAGGCCAAACUAAGCACGGCUAGCUCAACCGGCUAUCAAACAGAGACAAAAGCAAGGAGGAGGCCAGCGUCAGAUCAAGGACCUACGGGUCUCCAUUGAAAAUAAUCGGGUCUAGGCUCCAACUUCUCUGCAACCUUCUGUUUCUGAAAUUGUCUUCGACGUUCCUGAAUGUGAUAGCCUUGUCUCGGACCACUUUGAAGAGGUGGUUCUUGAUGGCCGGAAUUGAGAGAGGCUGGUCUCUAAAGAUGAUGUCAUUCCUAUUUUUCCAAAUGAUGUGACACAACGCGCCAAAGGAAAAACGGGCUAUGCACUUAUAGAAAUCUUUCCCCAUCAAAUAGGUAGUUGCCCAUCUGAAAUUUUCCCCCCAACCUCCGUUGCGCUAGGGUAAAUUGCAUCUGGACGCCCAAAAGAAAGCAACGCUAGCCGUGACACAGCAGUCAAAAAACAAGUGGUCAAGAGAGUCAGGCACAUUCUUGCAAAACGCACAGGUAGCAUUCCCAAUUAUACCAUAGGCCAGAAGGAGGUCCUGGGUUGGAAGCCUACGCUUGGCCAUAAGCCAAAGAUUGAGUUGAUAUCGAGGCACUAUGGCGUUGUCCCAUACGAAGGAGUACCAGUGGACCUGCGUCCUCUUCUUCCUGAUGAAGUUCCACGCCGAUGCCAUAGUGAAUUGGCCCGAAGAGCUUUCUCGCCAACAGCAACGAUCCGGGUCAUUCGUCAGGCUCGGAAGAGGUUGCCCCCACGAUUGAAGCACCAACCUGAGAGCUUGGCCAGCAUCUGAGAAGAGGUCAGCAACAGAAGCUUGUCUAGAGAGCCCUGAGCUGUAGAUAAGAGAAUCUGAGAAGAACAGGUUCAAGGGCCCUCUAGGGUGCCAGUUGUCAAACCACAGAGAGGUUGUUUGGCCAUCGCCAAUUUUCCAGUAGAAGGCCAUCCUGAAAUUCCUUCUUAGGGUCAACAAGCUCUUCCAAGCCUAGGAUCCAGAUGUUGGCUUCCUAGCAACCCAAAAAUUCUUGUUUUUUAAGAACGUGGAGUGGACCCAUCUACACCAUAGCGCUUCCUUGUCGGAAAACAAGAUCCAAAUAUGCUUUAGCAUGGAAGCUUUAUUGCAAUCUUGGAGCCUCCUAACACCUAGCCCUCCUUCAUCCUUUGGAAGGCAAACUUCAUCCCAGGCUACCUUAGCACCACCCCUGCCUAGGUUCGGACCUUUCCAUAGGAAUUGUCUAAAUAUUUUCUCUAUCUGUUCCAUCACAGCUGUAGGUAAAACAAAGACAUUAGCCCAGUAGGCUUGUAUAGCAUGAAGAACUGACUUGAUAAGCUGAAGCCGACCAGCAAUAGAGUGUAAUCGGUGGGUCCAAGACUGAACCCUUGCAGUGAUGCGAUUGACCAGGGUACAACAGUCUGCUUUAUUGAUCCUUGAAGUGAUAAUGGGAACCCCCAGGUACCGAACUGGCAGGCUUCCUUCUCAAAAGCCCAACUUCAAUAGAAUAUUAUUCCCUAGGGAGAGAUUGCCACCCGCCAAGAAAAUUUCACUCUUGCACGAGUUAGGACAAAGGCCACUCCAAGAGGAAAAUAUAUUUAGAGCUUCCUUAAGGAGAGUCGCCGUAGGAAGGUGCGCCUCACAAAAAAGGAAGACAUCAUCUGCAAAAAAGAGAUGUGAAAGACCCACUGCCUUGCACCUCCAGAAGAACUUGAAAUCAGGCCUCGAGGAGUGCUUAAGAAUGAUCCCUGAGAGCACUUCCAUGACCAUAGUGAAAAGGUAAGGAGAGAUGGGAUCACCUUGGCGAAGACCUCGACCGCUCGCAAAAAACCCGUGGAGCUCUCCAUUCAAAGCAAUUGAGAAUUUAGUAGUGCGAACACAUGUCAUAAUUAGACUAGUGACAGAGUGAGGGAAGCCAAAGGCCAGCAUCACAUUCUCAAGGAAGCCCCAAUCCACGGUAUCAUAGGCUUUCCUGAAGUCCACCUUUAUCGCACAUUUAGGUAGAUAAGGCUCAAGGUGGAAGCUAGAGAAUAGUUCCUGAGCCAGCAAAAUAUUGUCCCUAAUUCGUCUACCUUUUAUAAAAGCAGUCUGAAAAGGGCCUAUCGUGUUAUUCAAAGCUAGGGCCACCCGAUUAGCUAGCACCUUUGUAAUACACUUGUAGAUAGUGUUGCAGCAGGCGAUAGGCCUGUAAUCCUCCACAGAAGUGGCGUUGAGCACUUUCGGAACCAUUACCAAGAUGGUAUUGUUAACCUCCCUCAAGAGUUUUCCGGAGUUGAAGAAAUCCAACACUGCAGUCGUUACUAAAGGACCAACCGUGUCCCAGUUUUCUUUGAAAAACUCCGCUGUGAAGCCAUCCGGCCCAGGAGCCUUUCCCUUAGGCAAAGAGAAGAUAGUGUUCCGGAUCUCCAUCUCUGUAACUGGUUGAGCAAGAAGUGCAGCCUGAUCAACCGAAAGUGGAUGUUGAAUAACCUCCCUCAAGUCCUCUAACGAAGGUCUAAUAAUCUCCCCUUGCGGCAUCAAGAGGUCCUCAAAGAACUCUACAAACCUUCGUUGCACCAGCCGUGGUUCCGUCACUAUGUUCCCCGAAGAGUCGAGGACGGAGAGGACUCUGUUCCUCAACUGUCUUUUGUUGACAUAUUGAUGGAAGAAUUUGGUAUUUCGGUCUCCCUCCCUGAGCCAUCUGACCCUGGACUUUUGCCUGAAGAAGGACUCCUCCGAGGAGCGCAACUCUGCAAAGAUACACCUUUGGCUUUUCUCCACCUCAGCAAGGUUAGCAGAGAAGGGAUUUAGCUGUAAUUCUGCUUGAGUGGCCUCCAUCAUCUUCCGCGCAUCAAGAGUUCUAGCAGAUAUAUUAGAGAAGGAAUCUCUGUUGAGCUGCUUGAGCCGAUAUUUGAGAGCCUUGAGUUUAGAGACAAGCUUAUACAUAGGGACGCCACUCCCCGGCGCAUCCCACACUUGUGAGACAAUUUCAUUGAACUCCGGGUGCUUCAUCCAGAAGUCGAAGAAUUUGAAGGGCUUCCUUCGAUGAGUCGAAUUAAGUACCUUCACCACCAUAGGCGAGUGGUCCGAGAUUCCAGGAGCAAGGAAGGAGGCUUUUGAGUAAGAUAGAUCCGAGCUCCACUUGGCAUUCACUAGAACCCUGUCAAUCUUCCUUGCUUUCCUAGAAUGCCCUGAAGACGUAGUCCAAGUGUAUCUAAAUCCAACGAACCUCAAGUCCUCUAGCUCAGCUUGCUCCAAGCACUGUCCAAACUCAUUAAAACAAGGGAGCCAAUCUUCGGAGCCACCGACCCGGUCCGAUGGAUCCUUAAUAGCAUUGAAGUCCCCCAAGACAAGCCAAGGAGUGUCUCGGAGAUGGGUGCUUUUCAUGAUAAUGUCUUCCCAUAGCGGUCUCCUCAGCGAAAAAGAGUGAUCUCCAUAAAUAAAAGAAACACAGCAAGCCACCCCAGAGUCUAGGCUCUCAAGGUUCCCAUGAAUUGCCUGCUUGGUAAGAGAGAAGGCUUCAAACUUGACUCUCAUGGGGUCCCAUCCGACCCAAAUUCUACCCCUGGGGAAAAAGUCAUAGUUUGCAGUCCAACACCAACCUCUCAAUAGAGCUUCGGAUAUGGAGUUAAAGCGAUCCUGUGGCACCUUAGUUUCCACCAAACCAACACAGCACAAGUGGUUCGAAGUAAUAAAACUACGAAUCUCCGCUUGCCUAGUCGAAUCAACCAUACCUCUAAUAUUCCAGCAACCUAUAUACAUAUGUACAAAAGAGGAAACGAGUAAAGGUUACCUCCUUUUUGGAGGCUUGCGACGGCUCGGAGUGGGAGCCGCACGAGUCGGUGGAGGAGGUGGGUCUGGAGGAAGCACCAGGGGCUUAUCCUGGGUAUUCUCCUCCCUGUUUCUCGUUGGAGGAGCCUUCGGCGAUAGACCUGGAGGGGCCUUCGGCGAUUGACAAGGCGAGAGAAGAUCUUCAUCUGAGCUAAGGUGGUUAACAGACUCAUUUAACUCCGCUCCACUCCCUAGGCCCGCAUCUGGAUGGCUAAUGGGAUCUUCCUCCAUUGUCGAGGUGUGGUCAUCCACCCUGAUUAGUGCUUGAAGCCCACUCUGAGCCCUCCGGGUAGAGGUUGAUGGCAAGCUUUUAAGAGCUGCUGCUGACUGCUUGAGAGGUGGUUCCUCUUCACCAGAGCUUGCCGGAUGGUCCAAACAUGUCUCCUUGGGGGGGGGGGAGAUUUGUUCUUCUUUCCCUUGACUUGUUUCCAUCCAAAAUCAGCUUCAUUCAGAUCUACCACCAGCAUCGGUGAAGUCUCAGAGGGGCGGGCCUCCACUGGUGGGGGGGGAGGGAUGGGCUGAACUUGCUUCUGGCCUUGCACCGCAUUCCGACCAGUCAAAGAGGCUGCACAAUUGUGCCCAAAGGAGCCACACUUCAAGCAUUCCGCUGGCUUCCACUCAUACUCGAUGGCAAUCGACCGAACAACUCCGUUUAGUCUUACCUUGGUCAAGUAGAACCUCGGCUUGUUUACUUGAAGCUCCACGCAAACUCUUGCAAAAGAGAUCCUUUGAGAUUGCUCCGUGCGUUGAUCAACAAAUAACGGCUUGCCAAUGGUGCUCGCGAUGGCGCUAAUUGCCGAGGCUGUCCAUAGGUCAAGAGGUAGGUUCUUCAAGCGAAUCCACACUGGCACCAUGGUUUGCUUCUCCCUCUUCAACUCUAGGAGCGGCUUCCAUUGUUACAAAACAAGUGCAACCCUUGCAACCGUUAUAUGACCUUCUUCCAAAAUCUUCCUUCAGAACUCGGGGUCAGGGAUGCGGAAGAAAAAGAAACCCUGGUCAUCGGCGAAAACCUCAACAAGCUUCGGUCCCCAAGCUAGCUUGAGCGAGUUCUCCGUGAGCUGGAACGACAAACUCUUUCCUACAUAAUACCCAACCAGACACUCAUGCCAUUUGGGAUCCACCGCAUCUAACACUUCUUCAGGAAGAUCCACCAUAGGGAUAUCAUCCUCAAACGAGGGAGGAACAAAGGUAAGGUCAUACCCUUUCGCUGUAAGUUUCGCAACAUUUGCCCACGUCCGGACAGCCAGGGCGUCUGGUUUUCUCACUUGCUUUUGUGAGGCUUGGGGCCGUUUGGAAGCUGACCUCGCUCUACUUCGUCCUCUCGAGCGCCUAUCCCGGCCUACAUCUUUGGGACCACGGUUUGAGGUCUCUGCUAGUGCAGGAGCCUUGCCCGUGAGCAUGGAGACCCGGGCCUCCUUGUCUCGAUUGAGGGGGCUAGAAGUCCUCUCCGAUUCAUCUCUCAAUUGUGCCGUAUUACUCGGCUCACCACCCACAGCCAUUGGAGCAGCCAUAACAUUACCCAGCCAGCUAAACCCAGACCUCUACACAGCAGCCAUCUAGAGAGCGAGAGACUAACCGGUCGGACGCCACACACCUCUUGGGUUGGCCGGAAGCAGCAAGGACGGGGCAGGGUGGAUGGACCAACAGUUCAUUCAAGAGCAAGGCAGCUUACUUGACGCCCUCCUCUCGCUGCUAGUAGGUCCGAGACGCACCAGCACUGCUCCUCAAGGGCCGAGCAACGCAGCAGUUCGGUGCAGGGCGCGGCACAGCAGGGUCGGGACAGGGGAGCACUAGCAAUCGUUCAGGAGCAGAGCCGAGGAAGGCUUACUUGAGGGUGCUGGGAUGCCUGCGAACCUCUGCUAGCAGACCCGAGCCGCACCAGCACCGCACCUCAAGGGGCCGAGCAGCGCAGCAGCAGGCGAUUCUCGUGGAGAGGCAGCUCAGAUCUCGCCGCAGAGAUGAAGAGACUCGAAUCCGUUCGGUGAGGAGCGAGGGCUUUCCCAGAGGAGCUGAACCCCCAAUUUUCACGCCAAUCGGAGGUCUGGAUCGCCCGGAUCGAGCAGAUGAAGCCGGCGAGAUUCAGUUCAAAACCCCAGAGGAAGAGAAGCGAUGAACAGUACCCGUGCGUGCAUUUUGGCUCAUUCUUGUUUUUAAAAGAUGGGUGGACAUGUCAAGGAUUCUCCCCUUAAGUUGCGCACACCUAUUCGCGUAAUUACCGAUGACAAAAGGAAAGGCUUUCUAAGUUGAUAGCUAAGCUGACUAAUCAUCGAUGGGAGAGUGGCAACUUAAUUGAUCACAUUCUUGAAGUCAACGAGAAAAUACAAAAGGUCAUAUGGAAUGGUUGUCCCAUGCCACAGUCUGAGAUGGUGCGAUUUUUCAUGAACACUCUUCCACAUGAAUGGCAAAGAGUGUUGAAUCGCGUAUGGGAAGUCAACAGAGCUGCUUCGUAUAGGAAAAUUGUGAUGGAUUUUAUAGAUGAUUAUUACUGGAUUGUUAUAAGGGAAAAGAUCAAGAAAUUGAACAAAAGAUGAUCUUUCACAGUUCGUAUAUUGACUUGGUGCUAGAUGUUUUUUGCUGGUCUUUAUUUAGUGUGCUUUGUGGACAUCUUAUGUAAUGUUAUCUACCUAGUUAUGGUUGGUGUGGCAACUGAUAUGUUAGUUGUAUUAUAUGAAAGUAUUAUUAUUAUAUCAUUAUUUGAUAUCAAGUACUAUUUGCUUUAUGUUAUUAUUAACUGUUGUGGGUAGUUCAUAGAAAUUUUUGUAAUUUCAAAGAAUUUAUUUUGCAUAGAAUGUUAUAUUAAUAAUAACUCCAAGUUAGGAUUUUGGAUGAUGAUUGGAAACAUAGUGACCUUUUGAUUCUAAAACCUUACUUGAAAUUAUUCAUUAAUAUGAUGGUUUUGUGCAAAAUGGAUGCAUAAAUGAUAGGCAUUAAUAAUUCGUGCAUAUAUGUCUGAUAUGUUCAAAUCAAUGGCUUCAGCCACAAAGAGCAUAGUUGCUGAGCUGAACAAAGGUGAGAAACUUAAUGGCGAUAACUAUGAAAUAUGGCACAUGAAAAUCCAAUAUGUGCUGGAAGAGCAAGAGACACUAGAAGCUCUUAACCUGACCAUGGUAGAACCUGAAGAAGGAAACACUACACGGCACAAGAGAGAUAAGGAAUCAUUUGUUGCAUGGAAAAGAAAGAACUCUCUUGCUCGCAUUACGUUGCUAAGUAGCAUGGAAAAUGACGUCAUGCGAGAGUUUAGGCGUUUUGAAAAUGCCAAGGAAAUGUGGGAAGCUUUGAUAGCAAGAUUUGGUCAUACUUCGGUGACCAGACUGAGGCAGCUCACUAUUAGGUUUGACUCUUAUAAGAAGCCUCAUGGUUAGACCAUGAAGCAACAUCUUAGAAAGAUGUCAAAAAUGAUUAAUGAGCUGAAAGAUGCUGGCCAUGUCCUGACUGAUGAGUAGCAAGUGCAAGCACUGAUUCAUUCCUUGCCUUAGAGUUGGGAGCAUAUGAAGGUGCACCUAACCCAUAAAUGAGAAUAUCAAAACCUUUGAGAAUGCAGUGCGUCAUCUUGAGCUGGAAGAGGACCGCCUCUUGGCGGUUAAAACGGAAGCUGAAAUCUAUCAUGCUGGUUCUAGCUCACAUGGAGCUUCAAGCUCUAAGCGCAAACGUCCUAACUGGUUCGAUAAAGGGAAAGGCAAGGAAGUAGGUCAUUCAGAGAAGAAACCUAAGCUUAACCAACAUGAAAGAGGAAAGAGUCCUCGAAUGAAGAAGCUUACAAGGGUGAAGUGUUACAAUUGUGACAAGAAAGGUCACUAUGCUUGCGACUGUUGUGAGCCAAAGAAGGUAAACACCCAUUGUACUUUUCAUAACUUUGCUUAUGUAUUGAGUUCCGUAUUCUUAACUGAGUCUAAUCCUUUGUGGACUAUGGAUUCAGGAGCGACAGACCAUGUAGCGAAGAAUAGAGAAUCCUUUAUGGAAUUCCGACGAGUACCAACUGGAACUAAGUGGAUCUAUGUGGAAAACAAUUCCAGAGCUGAAGUAAAAGGAAUUGGCACCUGCCAAUUGAACAUGCGUGGUGGAUGCACUUUGUUCCUACAGGAUGUAUUGUAUGCUCCGGAGAUUCAUUGGAAUUUAGUGUUUGUUUUAGUGUUGGUCAAGUUAGGUUUUAAUAUGAACUUCCAUAAUAGAGGUAUGGAUUUGUUUUUGGAUACAAAUUUCUAUGGUUGUGGUUAUUUUUUGAAUGGUUUCAUUGUAUAAGAUAUUGACUAUGUUAAUGCAAAUGUUUGUUAUUCCCUUCUCACAUCUCCUAAUUUAUAUGAUAAUGAUGUGAAUGUGUGGCAUGCUAGACUUGGUCAUAUUAGCUAACAACGUAUGAAUAGACUAGCCAAAGAGGGCUUUUUGGCAAAUAUUGAAAAAGUCGAUUUGCCCAUAUGUGAGCAUUGCCUAGUAGGGAAAACGACAAGGAAACCACUUGGAAAAUGUAAAAGAGCUAAAUUUCCUAUGCAUUUAAUUCAUUCUGACGUCUGUGGUCCAAUGAAUAAAAUGAAGGCAUUGGGCUAUUUAUUUCAUCACAUUUAUAGAUGAUUAUACUCGAUUCGGAUAUGUCUAUUUGAUUUCUCAUAAAUCUGAAGCAUUGAGUUGUUUCAAAAGGUUUAUGAACUUGGUAGAAAAUCAAUUAGAUAAGAAAAUAAAAGUAUUGAGAUCCGAUCGAGGUCGAGAAUAUUUGUCUAAUGAGUUCAUAAAAUUAUGUGAUGAAAAAAGAAUAAAAAGAUAGUUGUCUAUUCCAUAUACUCCUCAACAAAAUGGUGUUGCGAAGAGAAGGAACAGAACCCUAUUGGAAAUAAUUAGGUCAAUGAUGGCACAUGCUAACUUACCUAUCACUUUUUGGAGUGAUGCUUUGUUAACUGAUGCCUAUAUACUUAACCGUGUGCCUUCCAAAUCAGUUACUUUCACUUCAUAUGAGUUAUGGACGGGUAGAAAACCGGACUUAAGUUUUCUUAAGCCAUGGGGAUGUGCUACCUAUACUCAUGAGCUCUCUCACAAGUUUGGGAAAUUGGGUCCCAGAGGAAAGAAGAGUAUUUUCAUAAGAUACUCUGAACACUCGAAAGGAUAUGUGUUUAUAGGUGAGCAGGAAAGUGGGAGUAUAACCGAAUUUAAAUCACGGGAUGUCACAUUCUUAGAUAAUGAAUUUCCUAAGAAGGAUGAAAGAGGUGAAGAUUACUCUCUAUUUGAAACCUUGGAUCAAGAUAAUGAACUUAAUGAAGUUCGUCUAAGUGGGAGUAAUAUGAGAAGUGAUGAAUUGAAUUCAACUCAUUCUCAAUUACAACCACAUGAUGAGACGACAUCAGCAUUAUCUAAUCCUAGUGGGAGCAUAAUGGGAAAUGAUGUGCAAAAUGCACAAUCUACCAUACGGCGAACAAGUCGCAAAAGUAUUUCCUGUCGACGUUUUGACAUUGAAGGGAAAACUUUUAUGAUUGCCCCACAAGAUGAGGAUAAGCCAAGAAAUAUACAUGAGGCUCUAAGUUGCCAUAGUAAAGAAAAAUGGAUUCAUGCAAUGGAAGAGGAGAUUGAGUCAAUGAAGUCAAACCAAGUUUGGGAACUAGUUGAUAUUUCAAAAGGACGCAAAGCUAUUGAGAACAAGUGGGUUCUCAAAAUAAAGCGAAAAUCUGAUGGCUCGAUAGAAAGACAUAAGGCUCGCCUUGUGGCGAAGGGGUAUAACCAACAGGAAUGAAUUGAUUAUGAAGAAACAUUUUCUCCUGUAAUGAGAUUUACCUCGAUUCGCAUUAUUCUGGCAAUAGUGGUUAAAAUGGAUGUAAAGACUACUUUCCUCAAUGGAUAAUUAGAGGAAGAAAUAUAUAUGGAACAACCUGCUGGUUUCAUUAAAGAAGGCCAAAAACAAAAGGUAUGUCGACUUUUGAAAUCGAUAUACGGCCUUUAGCAGUCAUCGAGACAAUGGUACAUACGUUUUCAUAAUGCCAUAAUAGCAUAUGAUUUUACAAUGAUAGAUGAUGAUCAUUGUGUAUAUAUCAAAAGAUCCAAAGAUCAAUUUGUGAUCAUAUCAUUAUAUGUUGAUGAUAUACUAAUUGCCAGAAGCAAUAUGGAGUUUGUAAAUAUUGUGAAGAGUUAGUUAUCUUCCAACUUUGAGAUGAAAGAUAUGGGUAAGGCUGCAUACAUUCUUGGAGUUAAGAUUUCAAGAGAUCGUUCGAAGAAGUCGUUAUCUCUUUUGCAAGAAACAUAUAUAAAUAAGGUUAUUGAAUAAUUUCGUAUGCAAAAUUGUAAACCCAUAGAUACUCCUAUUGCAAAAGGUGAAGGAUUGAGCCAUAGACUGUGUCCAAGGACUCCACAAGAGAAGGAACAAAUGAAACAUGUUCCUUAUGCUAGUGUUGUUGGGAGUUUGAUGUACGCUAUGAUGUGUACAAGACCUGACAUAUGUUUUGUAGUUGGAAUGGUGAGUGAAUACCAAUUUAACCCAGGUCAAGCACAUUGGAAGGCCGUUAAAAGAAUACUGAAGUAUCUAAAGGGAACUGCUAAUUACAAGUUGAAUUAUCAAGGAAAGGAUUUGCGACUUGAAAGCUAUUCAGAUGCUGAUUGGGGAGGAGAUUUAGAUGAAAGGAAAUCUAUCUAUGGAUUUGCUUUCUUACUGAACAAUGGCGCCAUAUCAUGGAGCAGUAAGAAGCAAACAUGUAUAGUUUUGUCCACGAUGGAAGGUGAGUUCGUGGCAUUAUCAGCAACAGUACAAGAAAGAGUUUGGCUUAAGAGAUUUUUGGAUCAUUUAGAUGUUAUUGAGAAAGCUGCAAAUCCAUUAUUGGUUAACUAUGAUAGCCAAGCAACUAUAGCGUACACCAAGUAUUCAAAAUAUCAUGACAAGACCAAACAUAUAGAUACCAAGUAUAACUUUGUCAAAGAUAUGGUUGCACGAAAGGAUGUGAACUUAUAAUACAUAUUUAUGUAUAGAAUGGUAGCAAAUCCUAUGACAAAGCCAAUAACUAGAGAUGUGUUUUGUGGUCAUGUAAAAUCUCUAGGAUUGCGUAGAGUCUGAUGUACUGGAUAUUGUAAUUUCUCUGAGUUGUUCACAUUUAUGAACUUGUGUUUUUUAUUAUUAAUACCUAUGAAUCUUUGUUUGACCUUUAUGCAUCUUAAUGCUCAGUGCAUUACAUUAAGUUGAGAAAGUAUGUCGGACAGAUAUAAGAUUAGCCCACUCACAUGGGUAAUCGCCUCUAUUUACUAUGUGAUAAAUAGAGAUGAGACGGUUUUUAAGCUUAUUAUCUAGGUGAUAAUCGAGAGCUCAAGCUUAAAAUAUAUUUGUUGCCUUAACUGGGUGUUAAGAUGAUGACAUAAUAUUUACUAUGUCCGAAAGUAAAAUAACCUACAUAUUUUACUUUAUUUGUCUAUGAUGCCAGAUGUGAGUUCUGAUAAAUUUUGUAAAUGAGUAGAUACGUGAACUCAAGUUAGAUAUUGGGUAUGUCUAAACUAUCAUAUGUACGGUAUUGAAGGUGUAGACAUACGCUCCAUGGGAAAUGAGUUAAUACCGUAAUACGUAUUUCAUACUACGUAUGCAUGAGACGACCAAUAAGAGUGGCACAAAUUUGAUCUCAACUUUUAUGCCGUGUAAGACUCUUGAGGAAAAUAGUUCAUCAAUUUUAGUGCCCUCAUGACUUUUACUUAUUCUCAAGAUUUCUAUUUAGUGUUUGCUAUCUUAGGAUGUUAUCAAUGGUCAUGAGUUGAUUCGAUCUAAUGGGACAUUUCUAGAAAAGUAAGUUCAACUGAAAUUAAGAGUUUGAAGGAAAGAGGAAGAUCGAAUUUGGAUAAUCACAUUGUAGUUUUGUAUUCACUGGUCGACCAAUUAUGACUGUCUUUGGGAUAAUCAUAAUUGUGAAUACAAUAUAUAUAUAUAUAUAUAUAUAUAUAUAUCAUUGUUUAAAAGAGAUCAAAAGAAAUUUAAAUGUGAUCGAUCGAUCUAGGGUACUGUAUUCUAAAUCUACUCAAAGUGUGAUGCCCAUUAUGAGCUGCUAUAUAUUCCUAAUAGAUGUAUGGCAACGAGCUCUCAAAGUAUGCUAGUCGCACGGAUUAUUCACCGGUAUGAAUGUUGAAGAGAGGUAAAGAGGAUCUUGUUCGGCCCACCAUGUGUGAGUGGGAGAUGAUGAUUUUAUUAAUUAUUGUGAUGGGACUAAGUUGGCCCGUUCGCCCAUAUUGGGCCUAAAAGCUUGGCCCAUAAUAUUAGGGCCCAUGGAUAGAGGGAUACGUUGAAGAGUUGUAACUUUUGGGGGUCGUCUUUUGCCGAAGGGACACGUCCUUUGGAGAUGACGUAUUUAAGGGGGAAAAGAGAGGGAGGAACGCACCUUUUGGAUUUACGUACGUUCCUCCUCCCUUUCUCCCUUAAAACACUCCAAAAAGAACAGUAAGAAAAAGGAGGCGAUACUCUCUUCCCCUCAAGGCAAAUUUACGUCAUCGGAUCGAAUGAGAUCAGUUUUUCUUCCUCAUAUCAGCGUCGGUUUUUAAUCUGUGGCUAACAAGGUAUGUUCGAUUCUGUGAUGUGCCUUAGGAUCGGUGAUACAUGUGAUUUUCCCGGGCCCGUCUUCCGCACUUGUUUUAGGGGUUCAAUUUAGUGUCGAAUCCGAUUUUUGGGAAUCCGAUAUUCUCUACAGGUGAUUCAAUGAUUAGCGUGAUUAUGGACGUAUUUGAGCAAUAGCUAUUUUGGGGAUUGCAAUAAACUAAAAGUUCAUGGAACUUGAUGAAGAGGCAAAGGGUUAAGAAAGACAUAAAAUGAGACGUCACAAAUUGACUUUAUGAAAAUGACGUAUGAAGUCUUUCACAAGUUGCAUUGUCCACUUUAAAAAACCCACACCGGAAAAAUUAUGUUCCCACUACACGCGCAAUAGGUGAAAAAGUUAAGAUGUCGGUCCAAUCCUCUACAUCGACACAAUUGAUCACAUUGUUUAGAUUUUACCAACUGCAUAAAAAUUAUUUUGGGUACUGCACUAAACUAGAAGUUCAUGAAACUUGACGAACAGGCAAAGGGCUAAGAACGACUUACAAAGAAAUAUUAAAACUUGAGUUUAUGAGAAUGAUGAAUGAAGUCUUUCACAAGUUGCGCUGGCUAGGUACUAGAAAGAUGUUGUGUGAAAAUUGACCAUAGUACAGAACUUCAACUGAUGUUCUAUCAUUUUAUGUAGAGUUAUUUAGAGUUAGAGACCACAUUGAAAAAAAAUUCUUAUUAAUUGCCAUUUGUAGAUCACUUAUUUUUACUGAAUUGAUAAGACAAAUUUGUAUACUAUUAUGUAAAAAUCAUGUUAGAUAUCACUUUAAAAAAUAAAGAUGCUAGGCCAAUCCUGUGGAUUGACAUGAUUGGUCGGGGUGUCAGUACAUUUCCAAGUUAGGAACUGAAAGUUAAAAAUUCAAAUUUCACUUACUCCAUGAAACUAUUCUGAGUUAGGGUCACUUGUACAGGUAAAUAAAACGAAUUUAAUCAGUUCAAGGGCUGAUAAAAUGUUCUAAUGGGCCUUCAGUUAGUUAGCCUACUUGCGCUGGAUUAUAAAAAAUUAAAAAGGUGUUGGCCAUGGAAAAAUUAUAUAUAGUUCAUAAUUGUGAUCUUCUUUUAGUUUAUUUUUUAAAAAAGCUUGGCAAUGUAACGGUGCAGUCUUGAAAACCACCCUCACCCCCCCCCCCCGGCUCCAUAUUUUCCCCGCUUUCCUAGGGAAAUCGUGGGAUUUUGAGUGAAAUUUGUUUUUUUUUUAAUUCCGAAUUAAAAUUUGCUCUUCAAAUUUGCUACGUGGAUUUGAAGCUAUCUCAUGUGAAUAUAUUUUAUAUCAAAAUUAAUUUAUUAAAUUAAAAAAAAUUGUUCAUUUCUGUGAUCCACACAAUGUUUGCAAUCUUCUACUAAUCAAGCUAAAUUAUUAAAGAUUUUAUAUCAAGAUUAAGUUUUUAACUUAAAAAAAAAAAUUGUUCAUUUCUCUGAUUCACAAAAAGUCUGCAAUCUUCUACUAAUCAAGCUAAAUUAUUAAUUAAUCAAAUGUUCCAUAGCCUGUUGCUUUUGAAGUGAUACUAAAGGCACAAAAUGCACCAUUAGUUUGAAGCACUUACGGCAUCAUUAGGCUAGCAUUGACCUUCUUAUUAUUUUCUUUUUGCUUUAUCGGUUUCAGUCACUCUUUAUUUUUAUUUUUUUCACAUUGCUACAACUAAAAUGAUAUCUAACAUGAUUUUCACAUAAUAGAAUACAAAUUUGUCUUCCCAGUUCAGUAAAAAUAAGUGAUCUAUAAAUGACAAUUAAAGAUAAAAUCACUUUGAUGUGGUCUAAUUCUAAAUAACUCUAGAUGAAACCAGGUAAAAAACAUGACAAAUUUAAUCAAGAAAAAAGAUCUAGUAAAAUUUCUAUUCACUCCUCAAAUGAGUUUUAUAUUUAAGUAGUUAUUCAAAGUUUGAAAAAAGUUCACUCGCAGCAAUUAGUUCUUACUGAUUUCAUUUCCUUUCUAGAAGAAAGAAAUAGUGUCUAUAAUUGAGAAUUUUCUAUUUGAGAAAUAGUCUCUAAUUAUGAAUUGCAUCUCCAUCGCACUUUGUGGUAAAAAAGACACUGUUAUUCACAAAGAGUAAUGGUAGGGUUAGCGUUAGCAAGGUUAUUUAUUUUUUAAGAUAUGGGUGAGUCAGAUGAAGCCCGUAUGUUAGUAAUUAGAGAGACGCUUUUUUUUAGACCGACGGGUUGGUAGGAACGGUGGAACGGGUAGUGUUGACUUUAGGCCCAUAUCAUUCAUAUCAAAUAACUUGGCAAGUCUUUCCACAAAUCACAUUAGUAAAUAAUGAGUUUUAGAAGUUAAAAUCAAAUGCGGAAACCAGGUCAAUUAUAGACAAAUCUCUAGCCAUUAUUCAUAUUCAUGUUCGUCGGAAAAUCCUGAAAAUUUAGAGAAAUAUUGGACACAUUCUACUAACCCAAUUCCCUCAUAUACUAAUGGUGUAUUCCAAAGUUGAGAGGGUUUGUGUUAGACCUUGUGAUUACCCCAUUAGAAAUGAAUGAUCGUUCCCUUUCUAUACCGUCUCCCAUCAAGACGGUUACCAAAAUGGAUGGUUGUCAUGAAAAGGUACGAAAUGUGGAAACUUUACAUGUGGAAUAACCUUCACUUUAAGAGAAAAUGUGGGAUCACACAAUAUAAAUAAUAAUGAGUCCAUAUUCGCGUCUUGAGCUUUUUCGCAGUGCAGUUUUGCGUCAACAAAAAUGAUAACGUGACCAUAUGUACACUUAUCGCAACACUACCGCGUAGACUAAACAAGCCGUCGCUUUGUGUUAGAAAAGCUACAAAAUCAAAGCUUGCGCAUUAUAAAUAAGACCGAAGCCACUUGUGACCAUCUUAGAAACACACCACACUUUCGUUAGUUUUUCCAAUCACUAAGAUCCUACACUUUAUUUAACCCCCAGUACUCGGCCAUCAUUAUCUUCCAUAUCUUGCUGACCUUAAAAGGACAUAACCAUGUCGUCCCAGAAAUCGAACCCUCUUCCUCGUUCUCAAGGAUACACGGUCGGCACCGGUUUACCUGUUAAUUAUCUUCAGAAACACCACCACCACCAUCAUCAUCAUCUUCCGCAGCAACAGAAAAACUCCGUCACUUGGUCUUCCGAUAUUUUUCAUUGUUGCGACGAUCCAUGCAGCUGUUGCUCUUUUUGUCCACUCAAAGUUGUAUAAUUUUAAGCAUAGUUCAUGGGUGCUGUGAUAUGUAUAAUAUUGUUGUACGUGUUUCAGGUUGCACAACGCUUUUUUGCCCAUGCGUCACUUUUGGGAGGAUCGCGGUGUUCGCGGACGAAGGAUCUUCGUGUAUGUAUUUGUAAACUAGUUUUUUUUUUUUUUUCACAAAUCCAUUAUACAUCAUCCUCAACCUCCACGAACCAUCAACCUUUUCGUAAUUGCAAACCCCAGCCAUGCAUAUCCUGUAUCUCAAUCUUGAAAGUGCUAGUAUGAACACUUAGAGGGGGUGAAUAGGUGUGAAAACAGAUUCUGCAAAAUGCAGUAAAAACCUUUAUUUUUAACCUGAGUUUGAAUAACAACAGACUUUUGAAACUAAGUCUGAAUAGCAGCAGCCUUUGAGCGAGAUCAAACUUUAGCAGUUAAAUAGAGUUACGAACAAAAUAAAUGAGUUCAGGGAAAAGAAUAAGAACACAAGAUUUAUAGUAGUUCGGCUUAAUCCAAGCCUACGUCCACUCUCCCACGCUAAUAGCCUUCUUGGCCAGAUUCCACUAUGCAAUCAACAAGAGAUUACAACUUUGAGUGCAAACACUUAGUAGUAGAUCACACUAUCUCACUAAGUCACUCUUUUGGUAUUUCUCUCACGAUCACAAACGUUUAAGCUGACAAGAGACAAGUGUAUGAAAAAAGAUUGCUUAGACUUUGGAAUUAUAAAUUUUACGCUCCGUCUCUUACUUCCUCAUUGGUCCUUCAUUUCCUUAAAUACUCCUCUACUUUCAAACUAGCCGUUGGACAGUAUCUUGAGGAUCGUCUUCCAAUCUACCCGUUGGACAGAUUUGUAUAUAGAAGAUUUGGUAGCCGUUGAGUGACAAAAGUAGAAUCUCAAAUUGAUACCGAUCGCCCAUACAAACAGAAUCUUGGUUUCCAUAAGUAGAGCUUUUUCGUAUAGAAGGUUCUUGUCUUCAAUAUCCAAUUGUCAAUCAAUUAGAUUGAAUCAAUCAAAUCAAUCUUGAUGUGGAAUCCAAACCAGAUCACUAACCGUUAUAUAAUUAGGCUUGUAUUACGUUCUGUCGAAUCUGGAUGUAAAGUCUGAGUGCAAUAGACUUUACAAUUUGAGUCUGAGUGCAAUAGACUUUACAAUCUGGACGUCAGUCUGAACAUAUUUUGCUUCUAAAUAGAUUUAGCUUUAAGAUCUGGAUACAGUCUGAAUAAGUUCAGCUUCAGCAUAGAAUCUAUCUUCUGGUUCAGUUUUAGCAUAUAGUCUGUCUUCUAGUUCUUCAUUCACAUUUAGUCUGGAAUUUGUCAAAGUUGAUAGAUUUCUAAUAUAGAAUAGAAUUUGACAUUAACGUCUGGCAGUCUUUAGACUUUGACACAGAAGUCUAGAAAUCUUCAGAAUAUACUUUAGACGUGUGUUACGUUCAGUCUUCUGGCCGUCUUUAGUCUUUAACAAUACUCUUUAUAUGUUCUAUCAUCUGCAUGAUCUAUUAUUUAACCAUUAAACACGUUAGUAGCCUUUGAUUUACCUAAUAAAUCUGAGGCAAGACGACAUAUGCAACCAUCUUAGACCUCUGCGUAAAGCAGAGAGAGAGAGAGAGAGAGAGAGAGAGAGAGAGAGAGAGAGAGGAGAAGGAGCUGCUCAGGCGGCAAUGUAAUGAGCUGUGGAGAGCAGAGAGACAGAUGGUUAGGCUUUGAUAAGUGGCGUGUGCAAUCUUUUGAGUUAAAUGUACAAGUCUGUGUUUGAAAAAUUGUGAAUGUGUGCCACAUUUCCGAACAGCAAUAGCCAUUUUGUACUUGAAAUAAUGUUUUAAAAGAUUGAAAUAUCCAACAUCAUUUGCUAUGGAGUUAUAUGCUCUCUCUCUCUCCAUAUAUAUAUAUAUAUAUAUAUGAUCUUCUUUUAUUUAUUGGUUUAAACUUUUGAUUUGAUGUUUUAAUUUAAUAUCAAAGCCAGGUUCCUGUAAAGUUUAUUUUGCGUCCCUGCCUCAAAUUGCACAUGUAUAUCUCACUUCAGAAUUUUUAGGGCCGCCACAGUAAUUUACCUCAAAUGAUAAAAAUCAACAAUGAUGAUACUAUUAUAUUCGUUUUGUUGCAGCCUGUGUUUCGAAAGGCGCACUCUACUGUUUAGCCAAUACUUUGACGGGUUGUUUUUUGGGAGGAGCUUGCUGCUGCGGUUGCUGCAAUCGUAGAAGGUUGAAGACUCAAUUCAGAUGGCAACAGAACGCAUGCGACGAUUGUUAUGUUCAUUGCUGUUGCCAUUGUUGUGCUCUGUGUCAAGAAUAUCGUCACCUCCAAAGGAAGAAUAAGGUGGGGAGUUUAAUUCUCCACCUUCUUACGAGCUGGGGGAUGCACAAGUGAGGAAGUAGGGUUUUGCACAUAAAGUAGCUUGUAAAAUAUAUAUGGGAUUGGAUCAGACAAAAAAAAUAAGAAGCUUGUUUUUUUUCCCCUAUCUAACAUUGAGGUUCUUUAGAAAAGCUAAAACUAUUUCAACUGUGCGUGUGUAUAUAUAGCGAGUUCAUAACCCAUUCCCAACUUCAUAAAAAUUCAAUUUUUUUUUUCUCACAAAAGAGAAUUUUUGCGAAUUAAUCUUCGGGAACUAAAGGAAUUUUCUCAAAACAGAGUUGAUGAUGUGUCAUUAAUCGACUCAUUGAGUGAUCAAUCAACACUAUUUGACGGACAAAAUUAAGGGAAAAUCUGAAAAUAAGUAGUAAGCUUAGGUCUUUUAUGGUAAAAUUAUUAUUUGAUGGGUAUCUUGCAAAUAAUUACGCGCCCACUUGUAAAAUCUAAAAACAAGUGGUAAUCUACUACUGGAUUGGUGGAUGUUUAGAUUGGUAAAUGAUCGGUCACUUACAAAUAAUUACGUGGUUAUUUGUAAAAUCUAAAAAUAAGUGCUAGUCUGCUAUUGAAUUUGUUGAUGGUAAAAUAGUUAUUUCUUUCAUAAGUUACAAAUACUGACCAAGCUUAUAACUAAGGGUCAUGUUUUACGACUUACCAUCAAUAUUUGAAACGUGUUAUUGACUUAACAUGUUUACAGACACAAAACAAAAUUCCCUUUUAGGCAUAUUGAGUUGAGAAUAAGGAUUUCCCGACAUUUUACAAGAGAUAUUAUAUAAUUAAUCGUCGCCUUAAAUUAAAGAUUCAUGUCAAAUGGUUCCGAUUACCUUUCGCGAACAAUGACUGUUGCACAUCCUUGGACGAUUUUAUGGUCACCCUCUCUCUCAUCUUUCUGGUGCGUAAGAUUUUCUUCCAAGAGUGCUACUAACAAGGCCCUAAUCUAACAUCACAAGAAGAGCAAACCUUUUCACCAUCUGACCCAACAUCUUAUUGGUUCAUUCCUUUUUUAUUUACUUACAAAGUCUUACAUUUUUAUUGGCAUUUAACUCAAGAAAAGAUAAGUAACUAGGGUAUGUCAAUCAUUCACGUUCUAUUUCCAUUGACGUGUGGACCUCUGGAGUGCCAUAACUUGGCACAAAGGGACACUUAAGUAUCAUAACUUACGAAAGUGACAUUUAAGUGCCAAAAUUGGAGCAAAAUGAAUCACUUAAGUACAAAUUCGGCCAAAAUGCAGCCAAAAUGUUGAUGUGGCGAUUUUCCGGCGAAGCAAGUGCAAAACAGCGUCGUUUUGGUGUCGACGUGGUAAAAAAAUAAUAUAAAAAUUAAUUAAAUUAAAUUAAAAAUAAAAUUAUUUUAAAUAUUUUAAAAUAAAAAUUUUAAAUAUUAAAAAAAUUAAAAAAAAAAAAAAUUAAAAAAAAAAAAAGAAAAAAGAAAAUGGGGGAGGCAGCCCUCAGCUGCCGGCGAUGGAGGGAGGGUUGGCUAGGCCUUAGCCAGGGGUCGGUCACCUCGGCCGACUGGCUACGAGGGCCCGCGAGCCCUCGGUAGCCCUCUCCCCGAUUUGGGGCGAGGGCUCGGCAACCCCAGCCGACCUUACCCCCUCCGUCGUCGGCCCUUCUCGGCGGCGGCGGUAGUUGAGGGCUCAGCCCUCAGCCGCCUCCCCCCCCCCCCCCCCUUUAAUUUUAAAUAUUAAAUAUUUUAAUUUGUAAUUAAUUUAAAAUUUAAUUUAAUUAAUUUAAUAUUUAUUUUUUAUCACGUCAGCACCAAAACGAUGCCGUUUUUGCAUUAUUUGGCCACAUCAACGUGCAAAACGGCAUCGUUUUACACUUACGUCGUUGGAAAUUGCGCACGUCAGCAUUUUGACCGGAGUGGCAUUUAAGUAAUUCAUUUUUAUUCGAAUGUGGCACUUAAGUGUCACUUUAAUAAGUUAUGGUACUUAAGUAUCCAUUUGUGCCAAGUUAUGACACUUGAAACGAUCUUUUGCUAUUUUCAUUACAUGUAUGGUCUAUUGAUCCAAGCGAAUUGUUUGGGAAUUAUCUAAAACGAGUUUUACUUUUUAUUUAAUCUAAAUCUAGCGAUUCACAAAAUUUGACCUAUUUUUCUUUUAAUUUGGAACUUUAAAACUUUUAUGAUAUUUAAAUGUUGACACGUAACUUCAAAUGCAAAUUUAUCAUAACUUUUAGAAUAUAAUAAAUUUUAGCAAAAAAAGUACAAAGAAAAUACUCUUUGCUCCUCAAAAGAAAAUACUUUUAUCUAAGAGUAAACAAUUUACGUAUAUUGCUCCUAAAAAGCAAAAGACGCAUUGGCAAAAUACGGGUAAAUUGUUCUUUUGCAUGAUGCACUGAUUGAAGUCCUAUGUAUUACCAUGAUUGGCUGAAAAUGUUGAAAUUGCGGAAGACUAACGAGGAUACAUACACCUACGAGUUUGAUGAAAUUUUCGCCGAGUCCACGUCGCAAAAACAAGUGUACGAGGUUGCGGCAAAGCCUGUUGUGGAGGUGCGUACGUAUGAAAGAUUUUGAUUGUUGUCUUAUAUUUCACCGUCAUACGAGCUUGCUUUUGGUAAAUAUAAGCAAGUGGAGAAACUCUUGGCAUUUUACGCACUUAAUAUGCUUCAUUUUCUGACAUUUUUAGCAUCAUUAUUGGUAAGGAUCCUGGUUAGACUGUACCCUUUAAGAGUAACAUUCGUGUUUACUACUUCAUUUAAGGACUAGGUCCCGUGACCUGUCCUAGCUGACAUGAUUUUGUUUCCUAUACAUUAGUUUGGAUAUAAUUUAAUUUAGAAUACUAUGAAAAAGCCCAAAUUGAUACAGUUAUAAUACAUUUACCUCAAAUUAAUUUUUUGACCAUAGAAAACUCUAAACUAAUAUAUCUAUGACAAAUUUAUCAUCCUUUAGUUUUAGUUAAAUUUUAUUGUCAAAUUUCUGAGUCGGAUAACACGUGAUAGUUGAUAGGUAUAACAGUUUGAGUUUUUAUGCUUAGUUUGUCACAUGGGUAGUAGUUUUGUAGUUUUUUGUGAUAUUAAUUCAAUUUAACGAAAACUAAUAAAAAUUGUAUUUGUCACAAAUAUAUCAGUUUGAGAUUUUUUGUGGCCAAAAAAAUUAGUUUGAGGCAAACUUGUCACUUGUAUACUAAUUUGGAAUUUUUUAGAGUUAAAAGUUAAUUUUGGAUAAAUUUAUUGCAUACUAAUUUGAUAAUUUUCAUGGUAUUAACCCUUAAUUUUAUGGCACUUUACUUCACCCUGAAAUUUUCUACCAUUUUAUAAUAUUUUUAUAGUUUUUAGGAAAUGUACCUUCACCCAACACCAACUAGACAUGAAAGCUUGAUAAAGAGUGAAUUAUUGUUUUGUUUUUUUUUUUUUUUGGUGACCCAGGGAACCCCGCACGGCCGGUAGUCGGAGGUAAACCACUGGGGGUGACACGUGCUAGCCACCACACACGUGCCACCGGGUAAGUCACCGAGAGACUCAAAGCUAGCCUUCCUGCAAGCUUCGAACACUAGACCUCUCGAUAGAAGUCUAGUGCCUACCCAGCUGAGCCACUGCGGCGGGUGGUAGAGUGAAUUAUUGUUGUUAGCCGUAGGGAUGAGCAAAAAGAAAUCCUCCAAAUCAGAACUGCCCGGACCGAUCUUCGGUUCCUAAAAACUUGAAUAAGUGAAUACCGGUACGAUUUCUCAUUUCAGAUGCGGAACCACCCUUUUUUUUUAUUUUUUUUUAUUUUAUAAAUGAAACCUGAAAGCAGGCUCCAGACUCACGCACGCUCUCUCUCUCUCUCUCUCUCUCAACUCGCUCGACUCACAAACUCUCUCUCUUUGUUUCCUCUGGUUUAGUUUUGUCACGGUGCGUCUUGAUGUGUUUUGCAUGGUUGCUAUCUCUUAAUUGUUUUCUUGUGUCCAUUUUCGAGUCUUGGAUACGCGAGGAAGAAGAGAUGGUCGAUGGGUAAUUGGCUUUUCAGUCUUGGAUUCGCAAUCCACCUGAGCUCGGGACUUGAAGUGAUUUUUACACGAUUUUACCUGUGGAAAUGUUGGUGCUCAGCUGGAGAAUGAUCAGCUGGUGUUUUUUCUGCCUUUCUGUAUUCUAAUGUUGUUUGUUCAAGGGAGGAUAAGUGAAAAUUCUUUUAUCAAAGUGGCGAAAGUCAUUUUGGUGAAGUGCUGUUUCGGGUUACUGGUAGUUGUGAUCUUUUAUGAAGCUUUCUUUGGAUUUUUGCUGCAAGUGCGUAUGUUUGUUUGAUGAUCAGGGAAGUCACGUGUCCAUGGAUUCUGAAUUGUUGUAGGAUAGGUAGGUAACUAACAUCAUGGGAUUGAAAUGGUUUUCGGUAUAUUGUAAGGUUGUAAACGGUUUGGUUUGGUUCAGUUUUUUUUUUUUUAAAAACCGAACCGAACCAAACCGUUAGAGAAAUUUUCCGAACUGAACGACUUUCGGUUCGGUUCGGUUCGGUUCGGUUCAGUUUUUCGGUUUUCAACUUUUGGAUUUCGGUUUUUUUUUUUUUUUUUUUUCUGGGGACGGCUUACCUUCUGUAUAAGCUCAUUGAUUGACGUUCAUCUAUGUCUUUGAGCUAGAUCUCUUCCUUCUUCCCUUGUUACAGCCCUUUCACUCUCCUGGAAUUAUCACAUCAUGAGAAGCGAGAUGACUUCUCUUCGAAGAGAAGUCAAGCAAGAAGAAACCAGGGAGGAUAAGAAGCGACAACGAGGACGGGAGCUCGGAACGUUGUGUGAGAAUUAUUUGGAAGGAGGAUGGCGUCCCGAGACGUGGUUUCUUUUGUGGGCUUGGAAAUGGCUCGAGUUUUGCAUUGCUUCCAAUUUAGUUGGGUUUCAAAAGGAAGUGAAAGCUUCACUUUUGACUUUCUGGGUUUCAUGGGCAACUGGUCUGGAUCAAAAAUUGCCCUGCUUUUUGCUUUUCCAAUCUUAAUUUGUUCCCAGAAGGAAUAUUUGGUCCUACUUGCAGUGUAGCGAUUUUAAGUGUUUUUUUGACACUAGUGAUUCGUAAAUACAACCAUAAGCAUAUGAAAUCGUGAUAAGGUAUUGCUAACAACUUAUCUUCUCAUCUGAAUGUUCUACUAUAGUCUUUAUGCCUCACAUCACAUUUCACUUAGCAAGUAUACCCAUUUAGUCCAGGAAAUUGUCCUUCUCGAAGGACAAGAGAAUCAAGACCUGCUGAGACUUCAAAAAGAUGCUGUGAAGCAUCCCCAUUGUACAACAAAAACCGGUGUUGACAAAGCUCUGAAACAGGGAUUCUGUUCACUAGAGAAGAAGAGAAAAAAGAAGAAGAAAGAAUCCCGGAUUAACAAGAACUCAAAGGAAACUAGUGCUUUUCAUCCAUAAAACGGGAUAAGUACACUAAUGGUGUCAUAAGUUGUGUACGGCGCUCACUUUGGUGCCAAAAGUUUCCGUCGGAUCACUUAAGUGCCAAAUCGGAGGAAAAACGCUCACUUUGGUGCCACCGGCGAAAGAUUCCGGCCAAAAUGAUUUUUUUUUUUUAAAAAAAAUCGAUAAGCCUUUAAAUGACGUCGUUUUCGGUCCUCCUUAAGAAAACGACAUCGUUUUGCCGUCCUACGUGGAUGGCUUCAUGGAAACGACGCCGUUUAGCUCAUAUGGGGAAAAUUAGGGUUUCCGCCGCUCGGCCACCGUUGUUCGCCCGCCGUCGCUCGGCCACCGUCGCUGCUCGGCCACCGUCGCUCAGCCACCAUUGUAGUUGCUCGACCAGGUGAGCGAGGAGAGACUGAGAUUGUUGCAGGAAAAAUCGAAGGCGAGGGCGGAGGAGGAGGAGGAAGAAGAUGGGUCAAAGGGGCUGCUGCCAGUGCGUUGCUGGUGUGCUGCCGGUGUUGUUGCUGGUGCCGUGCCAGUGCCGUUGCUGGUGUGGGUCUUCGAGGAAGAAGAAGACACAAAGACGAGCUUCCCUCUCUCUCAAUUUGGGGAUUAGGGUUUCAAAGUUGGGGGAAAGAUGCCAAACGGCGUCGUUUUGGUGUUUGGAUGCUGACUCAACUCUCCAACGAGCCAUGUCGGCGUCAAAAAUUAAUAAAAAAAAGGCCACGUCGGAUUUCCGGCCAAUUUCGUCGGAGUUGGCACCAAAGUGAGCAUUUUUCAAAUUUUUUGGCACUUAAGUGAUCCGACGGAAACUUUUGGCACCAAAGUGAGCGCCGUACACAACUUAUGGCACCGUUAGUGUACUUAUCCCUCCAUAAAACUAGUAUCAUAGGGCAAUUAAUUAUUGCAAGAAUCCAAAUUAUAGUCAUGGCAAGGAGCAAAAGUAAAUCACAUUAGACAUCCAUUCAGUCACUUCUUUAACCCCACGAUGCUGAGACAAAGUGACAACAUAUAUCUCCAUUAUGUUGCAGGUGCUAAGGACAGCUGCUUCUUCUAUAUGAUUCAAACUACAGAGUUCUCCAAUGGCUCAAGGUCAUUUUGCCUUAGGAAUGGCAAGUUUCUCACGCAUCUCCACAGGAGUUGUGUGCAUGCUAAGCCCAAUAACCACAAUGCUGCUCCUUUCUUUUGUAUAUACCCUGACCAAAACAAUUGAAAUAAAAUUAGUGAUCUCAACUUAGGAAUCUGAUGUCACAAUAUAUACUUUCGCUUCUGUGUUUUCUAUUUGCAUCAUUGCUUGACAAGGAAGAAAGUCACUCUUUAUGAACAUGCAUGACUGUUUUAAGCUCAACAUAUCUAAGAAGAGAGGGGAAUAAAACCAAAGGUAGAAAAUGAAGAAAGUCACUCUCUAUGAAUCAUUACGGUUUUAACCCAAUUUGGACAUCGAAACAUCUUCAGUUAGCAAUCCUACACUACCACCUAACUCUAAACCUCUUGCUUGGCCUUGUAUACAUUUCUAUCUAAAACCAAAGGUAGAAAAUGGUCCAGACAUACACUCUCUCCCUUACGCUACUUCGAGCUUAAAGAUGACAUUCAAUCAUCAAGAGAAAUUGCUAUUGAAUUCAGGUCCAUGGUCGUAGAUGACAACUCUGCAUUAGAUUCAUAAUGAAAAUGAGAAUUGAAAUAUCAAUUGUAAUAUUGAAAGAUAUAAAUAUUCCAUGGUUAUUUUUUCUCACCUGACUCGAAAUUUUCAAGUUCUUCUAAAUUCUCCUCGAUCUACUGUGAAAGUGGUGCGGAUCGUAGCCAAUCUUGAGUACAUAUAAGAGCCUCUACCAUCAUUGGGGUCAAUGAGCUACGAAAUACAUCAAGUACUCGACCUCCGGUGCUGAAUGUAGACUCUGAUGCUAUAGUGGAGAUGGGCACGGCCAAAAUAUCUCGAGCAAUGGAAGAUAAAAUAGGAUAUUUGGAAGAAUUGACUUUUCAUCAAUUUAAUAUAUCAAAGGUAGAGUUAUACUGUUCACAUCCUUCUUCCAAAUACUUAUCCAAUUCAGAUUUUUCUUCCACAUAUUCUUGUCUCGUUUGGCUAAGAUACAUCUCAGUCAUAAUGUCCGCACCAACCACAGGAGACAUUGAAACGUUCACUGUCCUUGUCCCCUUUAAUCUCAUGCUGCUUUGGGGGUAUGUGCCGGUACGAUAUUGCUCAAACAAUAAUGUCAGAGAUUUUGUCACUCUAUCUCGCAAAGUUUCUGCCCGAUUGCCUUCAUACACUUGAUUAAUCAUUCAUUUCACAUACUCCAUCUUAUGUCGAGGGUCAAGUAUACAUGCAAUGAACCAUGUGAGAUUGAUGUUGUUCACAUUGCCAAAAUACUUAUUGAACUUGAUGUUCAUUCUCUUGGCUGUUUCUGGCAAACUCCUAUCCUCAUCUCCAUAAUAUUUAUCAAUCAUCAUAUAAAUCCCAUAGACAUCUUUUGCCAUAUCAUUGCAAGUGAUGUAAGAAGAGCCGAUACUUUUAAAGUCGCAUCAUAGAACAACUUCAAGAAAGGAAGAAAUCGACGGGCAUAAUCCCAAUCAUCAUCAGUAGGCAACCCUCUCACAUUUGAAAGCUCUUCAGCAAAUCUUCUAUCCUGAAUAUCUAAUGAGAUAAAAGCAUUUUGAAAAUUUAAGGCCACUUCCAACAUCAGGUAUGUUGAAUUCCACCGAGUCUCCACAUCCAAACAUAUAAGAUUAUUUGAAUCAAUAUUUUCCAGUAGAAUGCACUCCUUAAACUGUUGCAAUCUCGAAGGAGAAGAUCUCACAUAACGUACAGCUGAGCAUAUUCUAACAAUGGAAUCGUCUAUAUCUUUCAAACCUUCUCUCAUAAUCAAACUGAAAGUAUGAGCAUAACAUCUCACAUGGAGUAACUCACUUGAUAAUAUCAGAGCAUUCCAGGAGUUAAGUCUUUUCUUCAAGUAUUGAACUCCCAAGUCAUUGGAGCUAGCAUUAUCAACAGUGAUAGAAAAAAUGCCUUUGAUCCCCCAACUAGUUAAGCAUUUCUCAACUCAUUUCCCUAUAGUCUCAGCCGAAUGUCCUAGGAUUUGACAAAAAUUCAAAAUUUUCUUUUGCAACUUCCAAUCAGCUUCUACAAAGUGAGCAGUAAGACCCAUGUAACUUAGAUUUUGACAUGAAGUCCACGUGUCAGUCGUAAGACAAACCCUUGGAGAAGUAUCGGAAAAAUAUUUUUUCAAUUUGCUUUUUUCCUCCAGGUAUAACUUAUAAUAGUCCUCCCUUAAUGUGUUUCUUGAAGGGAUUAAAAACUUUGGCUAGAUUCUAUUCAUGAAUUUCCGAAAUGCCUCAAGUUCCACAAACUUGAAAGGUAGUUCACCAAUAAUAAACAUUGCUGCUAGAUCUUUUCGACUAGCAUCUUGAUCAAAUUUCCAAGGACCAGCUGAAAUAGAACUACCAACCCCAAUAGAUUCAUUCGAGGCACUUCUUUGCCUUUUCUCCACAUUCACAUAUGGAUAAUUCUUACAUCUACCUAAAUGAUUAUGCAUCCCACUAGUCCCUUGAGUAGUAGAACAACCAAUAAUAGCCCCACAAUAUAGACAUUCGGCUUUAUCUUGGCUAUUUUCUAUCCUUUUUAAAGUGUUCCCAUACAACAGAUCUCAGCUUCUUUCUAUUUGUCCCGCUAGAUUAACUUAUUAAAGAUUUGAUCAUUGUAUAUUUGGCUUUGCAAAUGUUAUUGCCUUGACAGGGAGAUCUACAAAUAAAUAUAAGACAUUGAGCAACCAUGUUCGAGAAGUAACAUACCAAAACAAAUAAGAAAUACAUAAAAAAGGUAGGACAAAUAACCUUAUAAAAGCAUAAGAGAUUGAAAAAACUCAGAUUUCUCCACUUUUAUUUGCAUACCACUAAAGCAUCAUUCUAGGCCCACAACAAGAAGAAAGAAUCAAAUACAAUAAAGAGUAAACUUGAUCUUACUUGCAAGAGUCAAUUCAUGGACAGCAUUGGGUGUUUCCUCAAAUAGCGGAGGAAGACUUUUGAACUCUGUCAGCAAAACCUGUACAGUGAAUAUUUCUCUUCUUAUUGCGUACAUACAAUGACAGAUACAUGUAUAAAAAAGACAUCACAGUUUAAAGUAGGGGCCUCAGUCAAUACUCUUCUCUACACAGUAAAUAUGGCAAGCAAACUCUCCAUACAGUAACAUUGUACAAAGCUACAUUGAAUUGAUUAUCUAGCCCUCCUCUUUGUUUAAAUAGUGGAUGUAUUGAUAUGUAAUGACACCGAUAGGUAAAGGUGAUCCUGACCAUUCAGAAUGUGGCAAUUUAUAUUACACCUAAGCUACUAUGCUUGCAAGAAGAAGACACCCAUGACAGUAAAUCUCCUCAUAUUCUCUAAAUUACUUGGACACUCCCUCAUGGUACUUCACCACUGAGAAAACAAAGCAAUAUGUGAAGCAAAUUUAGUUUUUUGGAACAGUAUUGCUUGACAUAUUCAAGCAAGCAGUAGAAACCAACAUACCCGUUCCAGCACCAAGCUCCAAUGCAACAACUCUGUCAAACUCAGAAGAAGUGGACAUGGUAUGCAACACGAAAUCAGAUAAUGCUAGUUCAGCUUUCCAAACCUGAACAAAUGGGGGGAAAAAAAGUCAUCUAAUGUCAAGCAGUUCACAGCAUAUCGAAAGAGAAGAUCAUGAAUGUAACUAAUACCUGCAACCCGACAUUCGGGAUAGAAGAAGUGAUGUUAUGCUGUAUGAUCACACUAAAACAAUGCGAAGAUGGUUCUGCACGUCGGAAAAUGUCCAGUCAUCAUCGCCAUUUUGUAGGAAAAAGAGGAUGCAAAAGCAAACCAUGUGAGCAUUGUGUGGUUAAGCAAUGGGCAACCCGAGACCAGAAUCGAUUUCGUAACUCUCAAUCGAAUGAAUUCUCACGACAGACUAGUCAGGAUUGCUGGCGAAUUCAAAGCUAAUUGAAAUGCAUGUACAGUUUAGAAAUGGGUGUAGAAGGAGAUAAGAAAAGAUACUCACGGUCUCGCCUUGUUAAAACGAGGUCACCAUCCUGGUCGAGCACAAUUCCUCGGCGCUCUACAAAAAUCCCCAAGCAAUUAAACUAUGGUUCUCACCUACCUAUUGAACAAGCUCACCAAAACAGAAUGGCUCAAAAAUAGCAAGUGCAGCUCUCUCUAUUCUCAGCUUAGAGAUCAGAGUAAUUUAGACAAACUUUAUCAGCAUUAGGAAAGCCUACCUUCGUGUUGGACAGCUCAGGUUUGUGGGUCGACUCAAGUCAAAGAAACAAAACGUCAGAAGUGAUUCCAGAUCUAGUAACCGAAACCAGAACCCAUGAAGUUGUUCAAGUGCAUAAACAGGAAGGAUUCCUGCAGAGCACCAGAGGAAAAUAAAUUCACGCUUGAAAUGGAUUAUAGCCCACGGGAAAAAAAAGAAUUAUAAUUGCAAGCCUUUUAAUCUGAAGUAACAGAAGUUAGAACCAAGUUAUUGUUUAUGUAGAAGUGAUUCUAGGAGCCAAUUUUCCAAUCCAACCCCAGCUUAAACAAAAGAAAAAUCAAAUCUUGAUGAAUAAAGUGCAUUAGUUUACCACGAACAACCAAUGCUAAAGAACGAAUUACGAAGCAAUAGCUUUGUCUGAGGAACAAAACUCAUCCCUACCAACUACAGGCAGAAUCAUUAAUUUGCAUCUAGGCAAAAGUUCAACCGCAAUAAACCGGUACUCUUUAUUCGUAUCUACUCUGAUAAAUGAAAUAACCGACUAGUGACAUUGAUCUGUGAUCUCUACUCUUAAUGACACCAAAAAGGGGAUCAAGAAACAUGGGUUUUGCCUUUACUGACGCCCAUAACUCGCAGACAACCAAAAACAAUGAAAAAAUAAAAAGAAACGUCGGCAAUGAAAGACGAACAAUGUUUGAAGACAAACCUGAAAUCGAGCGAUGCCAUCAGCAGCAAUGACGUAGUAGAGCGGCAUCGUGAGGACAAAAGGGUCAGUCUCCGAAUCGCUGUUGCUCAACCCAGCACAGCACACAGCUCCACAAGUCGCUGCUGCCGACGAAGAAGAAGAAGAAGAGAAAAGGGCGUGGCGGAACAAUCGGUCCCUCAAUUGGUCGCCGUCCUUGUCGCCGUUGCCGUUGCCGCUGUCCUUGCCACCAUCGCCGUCCUUGUCGCCGUUGCAGUCACAGUCGCUGUCGUCGUCGCCGUCGCACCUUCAAGAAGAGAGGAGACGGGAGAGAAUAAGAAAUAGGGUUGGCCUUUGCCGGUUUGGUUCAUGGUUCUACUUUUUGGUUUAUUGGUUUGGUUCGGUUCGGUUAACCGAUAAAAACCGAACCAAACCGAAAAAUUUCGGUUUUAAUAAAAAUCAAACCGAAAAAAUCGAAUUUUUCGAUUCGGUUCGGUUACUGACACCCCUAGUAUAUUAUUGUAGCAUAACCAAGCUGCAAUGAAACAAAAAAAGAACGAAGCUGAAAAGAAAAGAAGAAGUGGUUGGUUCCCGAUGGAACCUGAAACUGGCAGGUUCAGUUUCAGAGUCGGUUCUAGGGUUCAUAGGGUCGGUUCCCAGUUCCAAAAAAGUGGGAACGGGUCCCGACAGGGUAGGUCCAGGUUCCAGACUUGGAACCGAUCGUCCUAGCCAUUUGUUGUUAAAAUUGAGAAUGAACCUGAGUUUGAUCAGGAGGUGAACUCAGUGAGCGGAAGCCAGGUUUAGAUUUUGAGUGUUAUUUAUUGCUCUGAAAUAUAAUACGAGUAAAAUGUGUGUGCAACUUGUUAUGCCAGCAGUGUUUAUUACAUGAGUUCGCCUUUGCUUUCUCAACUUGCUCUAUUAACAUAGUUAAGCAUUUCAUCUUGGGCCAUUGAUUUUAAUUUUAUGAUUUGAUCUUUCUACUUCACAGGAUGGUGCAGCAAAAAAGAAAGAGAAGAGAAAGGAGAAGAAAAUGCGGAAGAGGAGGAAGGGAAAACAGGCGGAGCUGAGCAAAAUGUCAACAAAAUCUCAAAUAAUCUCUUAGAAGUGGCUAAAUUAUACGGAAAUAUUAUGAAGGAUUUUUUCGGUGUUGAUAUAGAUAUCCAAUUAACAUCACCUUUGGCCACCAACAACUCUGACAAAGGAUUUACAUCAUUGUUUGCCUAUUUACUUUGACACCAUUUCUGUUUGAGUGCUUGUAACACAUUCUUCUCAAUGUCACUUUGCUUAACAUAAGUUGAGGAAAAUUACUCUAUAAUAUUUUCAUCCAAUUUGGCCAUGUGAAGCAUUUUGGGAUUUUGUUGAGCAUAUUGCUCUUCCUAGGGACAUUUUUCUCAGCUUUGGCCUCUUUUUUCUUUCUCCUCCUCCUUUUCUUCUCCUUUGCCUUUCUCUACACGGUCAGGCAGUUUGUCUCUCAGCUUUUGCAUUGGUGGGGUAGAAUUCGCUGAAACGUAAUCUCAACUCGGUUGUGGGACAACAUUUCAGGCCCAUAGAUGAGCCUGAGGAGGAGGAGCCUGAAGAUGACGAUCAGCCAGGAAAAGAUGAAGAGCUCGAAGGAAAUGAUUAAGAACAAACGGAUCCAUACAUGAUUGUAAAACAUCGAGAUCAAUAAAUACAGCGGAAUUAAAGCAUACUUGUUUGAGCCAUUGCUUCACUUGCAGAAAAGUAGAUCACUCUGAUAAUCAAGGAUCUAUCGGAAUACCAUAUCUUCCUCUUUAUGACCUAUUUCGAUAUAGCAGCUUUUAAUGGGAUUAAAGCAACUAAUAGGUAUAAUCUACCCUUUUAUAGGCUAGAGAGGAGACCUAGCAAACCCUAAUCAAUAGCGUGUCAACUGGGCCCUUCCCAUUACGAGCUUCAGUCAAACACAAUUGCCUAUACUUUGCUGCUCAACUAGGCCCGUUAACAAUAGAUGCCAAUACCCAAUUCAAUCAGAUCACUUUAGGGUAUAACAAAUAUUGGAAAAUGAUCUUAGUGAAGAUGAGUCAAAAGAGGAUCGGGAUGAUCCCAUCUCUUUUGUGAACCCUAUGUAUAUGUGUAAAUAGAGUGAGACUUUGAAGUUUGUGAAUCAAAUUUAACGGAAACUAAUGGAUGGUAUAUUUGACACAAAUAUACUAGUUUAAAGUUCUUUGUGAUUAAAAAAUUAGUUCGAGGUAAAUUCGUUAUGGAUAUACUAGUUUAGGACUUUUUGUGGUUAAAAUUAAUUUGGGUAAAUUUAUCGCAAUAGUACUAAAUUGGGGGUUUUUGUGGUAUUAAACCUUAAUUUUAUGGCACUUCAAUCCGCUCCAAAUUUUUAAUCAUUUUAUAAUGUUUUUACAGUUUUUUAGAAAAUGGACAUCACGCGGCUAAACAUGAAAGCUUGAUAAAGAGUGAAGUAUUGCUGUCAGCAGGAUGAGCAAAAGACAUGUAUGAAUCAGGAAUCGCUUGGACUGUGCCGGACCAGUUCUCGGUUGCUGAAAACUUGAAUCAAUGGAUACAGGUCCGGUUUUUUUUAUGUUAGGUGUGGAAUUACCUAUUAAAUUUUUUUGUCAUAAAGAAAACCCGAAGUCAGACUCCAGACUUCUCUCUCUCUCUAACUCACGAUCCCUCUCUCUCUCAACUCGCUCAACUCACGACCUCGAGGGUCGUCGCUGAGUUACGCUUACUCUCGGCCUCGACGGUUUUUGAGGCACCAAUUUGCCUCUCGCCUCUUGCCGCCCAUUUACCUUAAUUUUUCCCUUUGUUUCGUCUGGUUUGGUUUUGACAUGGUGCGUCUCGAUGUCUUUUACAUGGUUGCUAUCUGUUUAUGGUUUUCUUGUCUCCAUUUUUUUGAGUCGUGGAUGGAUUCGCGAGGAAGAUGGGAUGGUCAAUGGGUAAUUGGCUCUUGAGUCUUGGAUUCGCAAUCCACCUGAGCUCAGGACUUGAUGUGAUUUUUCCACAAUUUUACCUGUGGACAUGUUCUGCUUAGCUAAAGAAUGAUCAGCUGGUGUUUUUUCUGCCUUUCUAUAUUCUAAUGUCGUUUGGUCAAGGGAGGUCAAGUGGAAAUUCUUUUAUUACAAGUGGCGAAAGUCAUUUUGGUGAAGUGCUGUUUCAGGUUACUGGUAGUCGUGAUCUUUUACGAAGCUUUCUUUGGAUUUUUGCCUGCAAGUGUCUAUGUUUGUCUGACGAUCAGGGAAGUCAUGUGUCCAUGGAUUCUGAAUUGUUGUAGGACAGGCAGGUAACUAACUUCAUGGGAUUGAUGUGGUUUGCUGCAUAUUGUAGCAUAACCUAGCUGCAAUGGAACAAAAAAAGAAUGAAACUGAAAAGAAAAGAAGAUGUGGCUGUUUCACGGUGGAACCUGAAACAAGCUUCAAACUGGCAGGUUCAGUUUCAAAGUCUGUUCUAGGGUCCACAGGGGUUGGUUCCCGGUUUCAAAAAUUGGGAACGAGUCCUGAUAGGGUAGGUUCUAGGUUUCAGACUUGGAACUGAUUUGCUGUUAAAAUUGAGAAUGAACCUGAGUUUGAUCAGGAGGUGAACUCAAUGAGUGGAAGCUAGGUUUAGAUUUUGAAUAUUAUUUCUUUCUCUGAAAUAAAAUCUAAUACAGCUAAAAUGCCUGUGCAACUUGUUCUGCCACCAUUGUUUAUUACAUGAGUUCGCCUAUGCUUUCUCAACUUGCUCUAUUAACAUAGUUAAGCAUUUCGUUUUGGGCCCUUGAUUUUAACUUUAUGAUUUGAUCGUUCUACUUCAUAGGAUGGUGCGGCAAAAGAGAAAGAGAAGACAAAGGAGAAGAAAAUGCGGAAGAGGAGGGAGGAAAAAGAGGUAGAAUUAUGAUCGAGGAAGAUCACUGUGUAAAAAAGUGAAAACUUUACCAAAAAAAAGAGAGAGGUAGAAUUGAGCAAAAUGUCAACAAAAUCCCAAAUAAUGUUGCAUAAAAGCUGAAUUACACGGAAAUAUUAUGAAGGAUUUUUUCGGUGUUGAUAUAAAAAUCCAAUUAACAUCACCUUCGGCCACCAACAACUCUGACAAAGGAUUAACAUCAUUGAAUGCCUAUAUACUUUGACAUCAUUUCUGUUUGAGUGCUCAUAACACAUUCUUCUCAAUGUCACUUUGCUUGACACGGGUUGAGGAAAAUUACUCUAUAAUAUUUUCAUCCAAUUUCGCCAUGUGAAGCAUUUUGGGAUUUUGUCGAGCAUAUUGCUCUUCCUAGGGACAUUUUUCUCAGCUUUGGCCUCUUUUUUGUUUCUCCUCCUCCUUUUCUUCUCCUUUGCCUUUCUCUACAUGGUCAAGCAGUUUGUCUCCUCAGCUUUUGCAUGGUGCCUAUGCAAAUUCUGGAUAUAUUGUUGAAGAGGGCUAGUGUUGAACCUGCUUGAAAGAAGCUAUCUGAACGGACUCCUGGCAGAGAUAAUUCCAUAUAAUGGCCAGCCAUGUAAAGUAGACUUAAUUGUGCUGAGGAAAGCAGGUAAAGAGUUGAGAAUUGGUGAAAGGCAGUUGAUGUUUCUUAUCUAAUCUAAGAACAUUGCUUUAACUUGUCAUCCACUUUUCUUGCAGUAUUCAAAAGGCCCUUCGCUAAUGAUUUUUUACUGUUUUGGUUUGAGAAAUUAGCUGGUGGGGUUUGGGGCCAAGUACGUUGUUCAAUCUGACCUGCAGUCUCCUUCUUUCUUGCACUUUCUUUCACACCAUCACAAGACUCUUUUCUGUGUACACGUGCGUGCAUGUGUGCAUGGUUGUUAGGAUUGCAGUCCAGAUUGUAGGAUCACGAUCAUUUGAUUCUACGACUCAAAAACUUUGAACAAUUUGGAUUCUAAGAAAAACGGUAGUCUGCAGGGGUCGUGAUCUGUAUCUUAGGAUGGCGAUCCCAACUACGAUUCCACUAUUCAAGCUUUAGAAGGCAAUUCUGCAUUUUUAGCUGGAGCAAAUAUGAAAUCGGGCCUCUGUUCCCUAGCGCAUGUGCCACUUUCUUCUUAAUCAUGUUCAGGGUCCAUUUGGAAAUUAUAAGGCUUGGAGAAUUAAGAAAAAAGGGAUGAAGAUGAAUGAACAGUAGAAAGCGAAGAAGUGCAGAGACACCAUCACUUCUUCUUCAGUCUUGAAUAAAUGAUGAGAUGGGCAUCGACCACUGUUGGAUUUCUUAACUGUCCCGUCGUUUGGAGAUGAGAGAGACAAAGCUUCUGUCAUUCUGCAACGAGAUGAGAGAGACCUCUACAUCCUUGAGAAAUUGGCGCACGAUUUGACUUGGCCUAGUAUCAUAAUAUCUUUGGAUGUAUACUGAUUAGAACUGACCUUAAACUUUAAACAGUUGAAAAACCUAGAAUAGCCAGUGAAAGUGAGUUUGUGAGAGAGAGAGAGAGAGAGAGUUCCGGGGGGGGGGGGGGGGUUAAAUUGGGGAGUGUGUCCCAGAUCGAGGGGAAUAAUAUAUUAUCCUUUGAAAUAAAGAAAGAGAUGAUAUGUAUUCCAAGAGAGAGAAGGACAAAAUAAAGGAUUAGAAAUUCGGAAAAGGCACGAAUGUAAUUUCUUGGCAGGCUUCUUCUUGAUUAUUAUGGUGAUUAUUUUAUGGUGAUCCUAUUUAAUACACCUUAAAAACUUGCGCAUGGAGAUUUUAUGCUUUUGCAUCUUUGACAUGGUGCUUUAAUUGUUAGUUCAAAAACUGGCAACCAAGAAUUUAAACCAGAGUAAUCUCUCACAUGAGAAUGCUACCUUUAAGCUUCACUAUCCCUCUUUUAAAGGUUAAUAUGCAUCUACUUUCAAUGAUUCAAGCAAGAAUUUAAUACUUAAAAUAUGUAGGAUCUUAUGAUCUUGAUCUGAUCUGGAAGACUUCAAAAGGAUCCUACUUAGCAUCUCGAUCCGGAUAACCUUUUUGUGUGUGUGACGAAGAUUGCCCAGCUUUAAUAUUUAUUGUGAAUUUAUUUGAUCUUAGUUAUAUAUUUGACAGGAGAAAUAUGGAUCCAGUUGUAAAGUUUCUAAUGGGCGACUCCAGAGUGAAACUGCUUUUCUGUUGGCUAAGCAGCUUUCACAUGGAGCUUUUCUUCUCUAUGUCAGUAUCUGUCUUGUCCCUGUGCUCAUAUUGCAUGGAUGGAGACUGACUGCAGAACAUGAAGAAAGAGUAAGGGCAAUUUUACAGUUCCUCAUCAGUUUGGUGUAAGAUUGAUCUCUGAAGCAUAAUGGGCCUUAGAGCCUUGAGUGUAGGACUAGCCUCUUUAAUUUCAGCAAAAGAGUGUGGAGAAUCUGUCUUUGUUUGCUUCUAUUACGGAAUCCUACGGCUUCCUUUGCUUCAGAUGGAAUGAAUAGCUAGUAUUUGUUCUCCAACAGGUUAUAUUCACUUUGAUGCUUCAAGUUGUCCGUUUUAUCCAGUGAGGGUACUCAGCUAAUUAAUAUACAAUGUCAAGUAGUAUGUUAUAUGAUUAACUUUUCCCUUUUAACUUUGUGCUUGCAUCGCUUCUACCUGAAUAUAUAUGUAUAUCCUUGGAAGUGAGCCAUAUUUUACCCUGCAUGUUUAAACUUUAUGAUACUUGAAGUCUUUCACAUUAGCAAGAAUCCUUAACAUCCUUGGUUAAGUUGAAAAUUAACUUUGUACCCCUGAUAUGCCCCCCUUUCCAUUUUUGUAUUUUUCCUUAUAUCCUUGGUUUAAUUACACUAAUAUUUUGCUUACAAUGCCAAAUUGGUAAAAGCAUAGACUUAAACUACUGUGAGUAACCGUUUCUUUGGUAGCUAUUAAUUUUGAUAGCUUACGUGGACCACAGUGGUGCUGUUUGUUCGUGUUUUCAUCUCUCUCGGUUCAUUGCCAAAUCCGCAAUUGUUGACCAAGAUUGAUCCAAACAGAGCUUUGCUUCAACUUAGGUGAGUGAUUACCUGUUCUAAUUGUUCCAAAUCCAUUGUUGUUUAUACCGUCUGUUGUUUUUUCUGAUUCUAUUCAACCCCAUUUCUGGUGUUUUUCUUGCUCUUUGGUUAUGCCCUUACAAGAGUUAGUGCCCUUUUGCCUCGUCAAGAUUCCUGUUGAGAGUUUUUGGUUUGUGAUUACUAUUUUAUUACCCUUCAAUAUUGCGUUUCUUACCUUUACAAGUUGUGGUUCUUCUUCUUACAUGCUCAUCGGAAUAGAUGGAUUAUAUUUUGCAUCGAUAGCCAAAACAAAUGGUCAAACACCCAAUAAAAAAACAAAUGCCAAAAGUGGCAUGGGAGGAAGUGUCUUCUCAGUCGGAUAUGAAUGAAGAUUCGACUAACUCCUAUGAGCAUACUAAUCAUAUGAGAAGUGCCACAUGGGGUUAUUAUACAUGUUUCAUGUACAUGUUUGCUUUUAUGACUUAUUGAACCUGCUAACCUAUGGCUUCUGUGAUGGAUGUACUAUCUGCUGAUCAUAUGAUGUCGUUGUGUCAUUGGGUGCAUUGUGCUUGGUUUGGUAGGAAGGAGGGAUGUGUUGUGCAAUUUGGAAAAUUUUGUUACAAGGAUGAAUGCUUGGUAGAUGUACAUUUUUUGAGUUUGUUUAGACUUUAAGCUAAUUCUAGCUUUGUUAUUAAAUGCAUGAAAUCAAAUGUGCAGACAAAGGAGGUGAAUAAACUUACCUCCUUGCCAAUUGCAUAUUUUUUUGGCUGACAUGAAUGAAUGUGGUUUAGACCAUCCUAAUAGGAAUUAUAUCUGUGUUUCUGUUAUUAAAUGUCGGUUGAUUUCUAUGAGAAUUUAAUGUUGUUCUGAUAAGGCUUCCCAAGGAACAAUUGCUGUCCUCACUUGCGGCUGUUUCAGACAAAUUUAUCAGCAAAAUAAGGGUCAUGUUAAGAAGCUCAUUCGUUUGCUGUUUUCUUACAGAGUAGCAUGGCCUUUCUAUUAAUGCAAGUAUAGCUGAUCAGGAGACAGUCCAAAGGCUGAUUUUGUAUUUGGGAGUAUCCAUCCUGAUUCAGAGGUUGCUGAUAAUAUCAUUUGGAGGACUUCUCCUGCUAUUGAUGUGGAUUCUAUCAAAUCGUUCAGAGAUAUGAAGCUGCUGCGUGUUCUUUUUAGUUGUAGUCCAAGUUGAAUUGUAACUCUUUUUUUAGGUCAAGCAUGAUCAGAGAACCAGCUGGAUAUUUUUGUGGGAAGAAGAGAAUUCGUAGGGUGAUCCCACCAUAUCUAUUGUAAUCAUCUAAGUUGGUUGUACCUCUUCUCUCUUUUCUUUUUGAACCGUAUACCAACUUCGUUGCUAAUGUGCUAUUGGUUUUCUGUUGUAAUCAUCUAGUGCCAAAUGAAGAGAGAUUUGUGGACCUCAUUUAAAGCAUAAAUACUUUUCAAUAUCUUUCUUUAAGCACAUGUGGUUCAUUCUCAUUGGAAAACCAAGAUAAUACUAUUGGCUAUAGAACACAAGUAGAUGGUCCAGGGGAAAUAUAUGAUCCAGCAUUCAUCACAUUUAACCUCACUUUGUGUAAGGAAGAAUAGUAAAUACUGUUUGUGCUACUGUGAGAAAGAGCAACACAAUGGCUGCGAGAACGGACAAGGAAGCCCAAGGACUAUGGAAAUAUUCCCUCCUCAGUUUCGCCAUCCAGGCGUUCCACUUCUUCGUGUAAUGUGCAUUCACAUUGUUGAAGAUCUCGAAAUAAUAAGGAUAAGAUACCGUGACGUGGUCAUAGGUCCUGUGAACAUAUGCGCAACCACCUUGUCAUCACCCAAGUAGUUCUUAAUAAUCCCUGCGCGGCGAAGCACCUCGACAUCCCCUUUAGAGGUUACGAGGCAAUCCGUGAAGGUAAUAUAAUCUGUGAAGUAGUUGAUGUCUCUGCUUUGAUGAUGCUGCUCGUACGCGAUCAGGUUUCGAAAAUUUGAUUCGGUGUCGUCCUCUACACAGAAGGCCAGUAACUCGAGUGUCCCGUUCUUGAAUUUGAUGUCGCUCAGUGCGCACCCUUGCGCAGCCCUAAACCUGACUCCUGACUCCGUUAGCUCAGUCGCCGAGGGCAUGACUGGUGUGCAGUUCAGGUGGGGCGUUUCAGGCAAGCCAGAAGUGCACCACGCGUGAUACAGAUGCAGAAGAUGUUCCCAGUUGCCAAUCGUCAAAUUUCGGUCGGGGUUUUUUCGUUCACCCUGGAAGUACAUGAUGACGACUUUGCUGAACUCAUGAUGCUCGUCCUCAGUCAGGUCAUAUAGCUUGCUCAAGACGAAAAGUGGGAGUUGGUUCUCUAGCAGCAGUAAAUCGCGCCUAAUGCUAUUUCGAUUCCCACAUUCAUUCAUAACCGGGUCGUCUUUGUCUGUCGCUAUCAUCCGAUUGUACUUACGGAAGAACUCAACGAUGAAACAUCCAUCAAUGAGCAUCAUCGCAAGAAACUUUUCUUGGGAGAGGUCAAUGGUUUCCGCAUAGCAAUUACGCGCCCGCUGUUCCAGUUCCCUGAGAGUCGGCAUAUACCUGUCGACACUCUCCUUUCUCCUAUCAAGCAAUUGCUGCAGGUAUCGCAGUUUUUGCUCCUCCAUGAAUUUGAACUUGCCAUUUCCAUAGUGAUAAGGGCCGAUGGCUAGGAUCUCUGGGUCAUAGGCUUUCUCGUUGACUUCGCGCAGUUGAUUACGAACCCUAAAUAUACAAUGCUCCGGCGAAGUGGGAGGCAUACUUCGAAGCAUAUUCUCGAUGUGGAUUGAGGCAUGAUCUCGCACCCUGAAACGGUCGUAGAUCCCAGCAUGCUGUAUUGGCUACGACAUAAUUAAUGUGAUAAUAAGCACUUGGUAAAGCAAGAUGAUUGUUUUACAUGUGCUUCCGAGGACAAAUUUGUAUUUUUGUGCGAAUAUUGAUGGACAAUACAAAUUAAGCACCGUGGUUGAACACGUGGUGUGGACAUUCAAUACAAACAGAUGGAUAGCUGAGGAAAAAUUACGAAACCCGUAAUAUUGCUCCUUAUAAUAUUGCUCUGAGAAUAAAUUAACAGCUGUAUGGGCUUUUUACUUUUGAGCUUCGGAGAACCCCUUUUGCUCUAUGGACGAGUUUUGACUUUUGGGAAGGCAAAAGAACAGCACAAGUACCAAACUUGGCAUGGAAUACUUAAGUGUCACUUCAUUUUGAAAAUUGGGAUAUCUAAUUUCUAAGUGUGGUGACCUUGGCCAAAAAUUCUACGUGACAAUUUUUUAAUAAUAUAACUCGUCUACGUGACUUGUCGGAGAGUUGAAUCAAUAAAAAAAAAACCAAAACUAUAUCGUUUUACCUUUUAUUUUGUUUUAUUUUAAUAUAAAUGUUCAUUAAAUUAAAUUAUUUUGGAAAAACAAAUGAAGAUUGCAAAACAGCGAGGGCUCAGCCCCUGCCGCCCUCACUGAGGAGGGUUGGCAAUGAUGGGGGAAGGGUUGAUUAGGGUCGCUGGCCCCUGGCCAAGGCUCGACGACCCUGGCCGACUAGUGGUGAGGGCCUACAUCCCUCACCCAGCUCUAGGGCGAGGGUCGUGGCCCUCCCCCAGAUCCAGCAAGACCCCCCAACCAGUGUUGGCCCUUGGCCUAUUAAGUGAGGGUCAGCGACCCUCGUCAGAUCUAGGAGAGGGCUACAACCCUCACCCCGGAUCUAAGUUAGGGCUUACGAGCCCUCACCACUAGGGCUCGGCUACCUCGAUUGACUCUACCCCCACCAUCGCUGGCUCUUCCGAGUGAUAGUGGCAAGGCGGCGGUGAGGAGGGCUAGCAUAGCCCUCACCAUUCUACAACCCUCUGUUUAUUUUUUAUUUUUAAAAAUUUUCAGUUUUAAAUUUAAGUUAAGUAAUAUUUAUAUUAAAAUUCAAAUUCGAGGGAAAACGAUGUCGUUUCAGCUUACUAACCACGUUAGCAUGCAAAAUAACAUUGUUUUUUUGCUUAUUUAGCCACGUCGUCAUUUUUCACUUGUCUCAUAAAAAAACUGCUACGUUAGCAUUUUGACUAGAUUUUCUCACCGUUAACACUUGACUAAUCUAUUUUGCUUCGAUUUCGACACUUAAAUAUAUAUUUCCUAACUUUUGACACUGGACUAAAUUUUGGCAUUCUAAGGAUCCAGGUCUCCUUUUAAGAAUUUGAGUCCCAAAUUUUUCUCUCUCCAGCCACCAAGCAAGGACAACCUUUUAGACACUAACAUGUGAAUUUUAAAACUAAUUGGGGUGUUCUUAUUGUGAGCUACUUACCAUCGAUGUUGAAGGCGUAAGAACCACGCUGAAUAGUUUUAAACUACAUAAGAAGAAUACUUGGAAUGAAAUUCGACUAAGAUAAAAUACAGAAAUGUUAUUAAACGCGAUGAGAACUGAGGAUUUCAGGUUAGAGAAGGUAAGACAAGCUUCUAGCUAAAUAACAUAUAAAUGACUGCUUUUUAAAAAAAUAUAAAAUUCUACCUAAGAAUAUAAGGAAUUUUUUGACCUAGGGAGGCAAGGCUGCCAGUGGCCUGGUACUACUGAUUAAAUGGUAGACAUAAGUUUAGAAAUUAUUUGUGUGAUAACCCUCUCUAGAAGGAUGAAAGCAAUCGGUAACUAAACCAAGAGAAGACAAAAUUGAUGCUUGAGUGACUGUCUAGCUGAGACAUGUUAGUUAACGUAAUUUUGGCGCCCUAAAUUAGAUCGAACGUGUAUGAUUUAAUUUUAAGUGCUUGCCAGAAUCAUGUUAAUUAAUGGACCAUAACUCAGAAUUGAAAUGGUCUCAUCCUUCAACAUUAUGUUUUUCUUUUCUCAGUGUGAAUAGGAAGGGAAAUUCGCAGGACUUACUUGAUUACGUUGGUGGUUGCUCAUUCUUCUCACCAAGCUAGACCAGCUACUAUCACACAGUAUCCAGUUCUUCUCUUUUUCUGGUUAGAACAUGCGAUCGUACAUGGCGAGAGCGAGAGAGAAGAGGGCGACGAUGCUAACAGAUAUUGAGGCGAUCGAUGGAGGAAGAAUCAGCAGGUUGGAUGCGUGAAAACAUGCGAUCGUACAUGGCGAGACCGAGAGAAUAAGAAACCUUGCGUUGUCGCGGAUAGAUGCAUUUCGGCUUGGGCUUUUCGAGCCCGGAUUUCCGAAGCCCGAGAGGCUCAUCCUCGUCAACCAUUUAGUUAAACAGAUGCUAAUUAAAUAAUCCUUUGUUCAAAUAUUAUUGUAAUUUACAAUUCCCUAGCAUGAAAUUACUACUAUCACCUAGAGGCAAAAUGAGACUACCGCAUACACCAACCAUUUAUACAAAAUUCAAACACAUUUUUCUUUGGCCCAUCGACCUUGGUCGUCACUACUUCCGACGGUAGAGGGUACUGCAAUAAGAAAUAUGAAGUCAUCCACAAGUUGCAUUGUACUAUGUGGACCAUUUCACAAAAUUUCACGGAAUUUGUGGAAAGAGUCCUACAUUCUACCUGCUAGCUAGAAAAUAAUAGUCUUCACGAUGGAGGCAACUUGUACAAUUGUGAUAAAUGCAUAUAUAAAAAUGCUUGCCAAAUUCUCUGGAUUGGUGUGGUAGAACAAUGUGUUAAGAGAUUAUCAAGUUGCGUAUUUAGAUUUCACAGACUAUAUGUAAACUAUUCUCUGUAUUCCAAUAAACUGUGAGAAAUAUAUGAUCACAUUUAUUUUUGCUUUGUGUAAGAAAGAAUAGUAAAUACUAUUUGCCCUACUACUGUGAGAAGGAACAUUUACUUGCUUGUUGUGGAGGUGCGUACGUAUGAAAGAUUUUGAUUGUUGUCUUAAAUUUCACAGUCAUACGAGCUUGCUUUUGGUAAAUAUAAGCGAGUGGAGAAAUUCUUGACAUUUUACGCACUUAAUAUGCUUCCUUUUCUGAUAUUUUUAGCAUCAUUAUUGGUAGAGAUCCUAGUUAGACUGCCCUUUAAGAGUAUCAUUCGUGUUUACUACAUCAUUGAAGGACUAGGUCUCGUGAACCGUCCUAGCUGACAUGAUUUUGCUUUAUGUACAUUAGUUUGGAUACACUUUAAUUUAGGAUACUACGAAAUCCCAAAUUAAUAUAAUUAUAAAUUUAUCUCAAAUUAAUUUUUUGACUACAAAAAACUCCAAACUAAUAUAUUUGUGAAAAAAUUUCCCCUAUUUUAGUUUUAGUAAAAUUUUACUGUCAAAUUUUUUAGUCGGAUGAUAUGUGAUAGUUAACUGGUAUAACAGUUUGAUGUUUUACGUUCAGUUUCUAGUUUUGUAGUUUUUCAUAAUAUUAAUCAAAUUUAACGGAAACUAAUAGAUGGUAUAUUUGACACAAAUAUAUCAGUUUGAAGUUCUUUGUAAUAAAAAAAUUAAUUCGAGGUAAAUUCGUUAUGUGUAUACUAGUUUGGGGCUUUUUGUGGUCAAAAAUUAAUCCGGGGUAAAUUUAUCGCAAGAGUACUGAAUUGAGGGUUUUCGUGGUAUUAUUCCUUAAUUUUAUGACACUUUAGUCUGUUCCAAAAUUUUAAUCAUUUUAUAAUGUUUUUAUAUUUUUAGAAAAUGGACCUCACGUGGCUAAAUAUGAAAUCUUGAUAAAGAGUGAAGUAUUGUUGUCAGCUGUAGGAUGAGCAAAAGAAAUGUCUGAAUCAGGAACUGCUCGGACCGAGGCAGGCAGACAAGUCCUCGGUUGCUGAAAACUUGAGUAAGUGGAUGUUGGUCCGGUUUUUUUUAUAUUAGGUGUGGAAUUCCCUAUUUAAUUUUUUUGUCAUAAAUAAAGCCCGAAGUCAGACUCCAGACUUCUCUGUCUCUCUUCUCUAACUCAUGAUCCCUCUCACUCUCAACUCGCUCAACUCACGACCUCGAGGCUCGUCGCUCAGUUACGCUCAAUCUCGGCCUCGACGGUUUUUGAGGCACCAAUUUGCCCCUCGCCUCUUGCCGCCCAUUUGCCUUAAUAUUUCCCUUUGUUUCGUCUGAUUUGUUUUUGUCAUGGUGCGUCUCGAUGUGUUUUACAUGGUUGCUAUCUGUUUAUGGUUUUCCUGUCUCCAUUUUUUUGAGUCGUGAUGGAUUCGCGAGGAGAUGAGAUGUCGAUGGGUCAUAGCUUUCGAGUCUGAUUCGCAUCCACCUGAGCUCAGACUUGAUGUGAUUUUACACAAUUUUACCUGUGGACAUGUUUCUGCUUAGCUAAAUAAUGAUCAGCUGGUGUUUUUUCUGCCUUUCUAUAUUCUAAUGUCGUUUGGUCAAGGGAGGUCAAGUGGAAAUUCUUUUAUUAAAAGUGGCGAAAGUCAUUUUGGUGAAGUGCUGUUUCAGGUUACUGGUAGUCGUGAUCUUUUAUGAAGAUUUCUUUGGAUUUUUGCCUGCAAGUGUGUAUGUUUGUCUGACGAUCAGGGAAGUCAUGUGUCCAUGGAUUCUAAAUUGUUGUAGGACAGGCAGGUAACUAACUUCAUGGGAUUGAUGUGGUUUGCUGCAUAUUGUAGGAUAACCUAGCUACAAUGGAACAAAAAAAGAAUGAAACUGGAAAAAAAAAAAAUUGAAGUGGCUGGUUCUCGAUGGAACCUGAAAGCAGCUUGAAACUGGCAGGUUUGGUUUCAAAGUCUGUUCUAGGGUCCACAGGGGUUGGUUCCCAGAAUAAAAACUUGGGAACGAGUCCUGAUAGGGUAGGUUCUAGGUUCCAGACUCGGAACUGAUUUGCUGUUAAAAUUGAGAAUGAACCUGAGUUUGAUCAAGAGGUUAACUCAAUGAGUGGAAGCUAGGUUUAGAUUUUGAGUAUUAUUUCUUUCUCAGAAAUGAAAUGUAAUGGAGGUAAAAUGCCUGUGCAACUUGUUCUGCCAGCAGUGUUUAUUACAUGAGUUCGCCUUUGCUUUCUCAACUUGCUCUAUUAACACAGUUAAGCAUUUCGUUUUGGGCCCUUGAUUUUAACUUUAUGAUUUGAUCUUUCUACUUCACAGGAUGGUGCAGCAAAAGAGAAAGAGAAGAGAAAGGAGAAGAAAAUGCAGAAGAGGAGGGAGGAAAAAGAGGUAGAAUUGAGCAAAAUGUCAACAAAAUCCCAAAUAAUGUUGCAUAAAGGCUGAAUUACACGGAAAUAUUAUGAAGGAUUUUUUCGGUGUCGAUAUAAAAAUCCAAUUUAACAUCACCUUCGGCCACCAACAACUCUGACAAAGGAUUUACAUCAUUGAAUGCCUAUUUACUUUGACACCAUUUCUGUUUGAGUGCUCGUAACACAUUCUUCUCAAUGUCUCUUUGCUUGACACGGGUUGAGGAAAAUUACUCUAUAAUAUUUUCAUCCAAUUUGGCCAUGUGAAGCAUUUUGGGAUUUUGUUGAGCAUAUUGCUCUUCCUAGGGACAUUUUUCUCAGCUUUGGCCUCUUUUUUCUUUCUCCUUCUCCUUUUCUUCUCCUUUGCCUUUCUCUACAUGGUCAAGCAGUUUGUCUCCUCAGCUUUUGCAUGGUGCCUGUGCAAAUUUUGGAUAUAUUGUCGAAGAGGGCUAGUGUUGAACCUGCUUGAAAGAAGCUAUCUGAACGGACUCCUGGCAGAGAUAAUUCCACAUAAUGGCCAGCCAUGUCAAGCAGACUUAAUUGUGCUGAGGAAAGCAGGUAAAGAGUUGAGAAUUGGUGAAAGGUAGUUGAUGUUUCUUAUGUAAUCUAAGAACAUAGUUCUAACUUGUCAUCCACUUUUCUUGCAGUAUUCAAAAGGCCCUUUGUUAAUUAUUUUUUACUGUUUUGCUUUGAGAAAUUAGCUGGUGGGGUUUGGGGCCAAGUACGUUGUUCAAUCUGACCUGCAAUCUCCUUCUUUCUUGCACUUCCUUUCACACCAUCACAAGACUCUUUUCUGUGUACACGUGCGUGCAUGUGUGCAUGGUUGUUUGGAUCGCAAUCCGGAUUGUAGGAUCACGAUCAUUUGAUUCUACAACUCAAAAACUUUGAACAAUUUGGAUUCUAAGAAAAAUGGUAGUUUGCAGGGGUCGUGAUCUGUAUCUUAGGAUGGCAAUCCCAACUACGAUUCCACUGUUCAAGCUUUAGAAGGCAAUUCUGCCUUUUUAGCUGGAGCAAAUAUGAAAUCGGGCCUCUGUUCCCUAGCACAUGUGCCACUUUCUUCUUAAUCAUGUUUAGGCUCCAUUUGGAAAAUAUAAGGCUUGGAAAAUUAAGAAAAAAGGGAUGAAGAUGAAUGAACAGUAGAAAGCGAAGAAGUGCAGAGACACCAUCACUUCGUCUUCAAUCUUGAAUAAAUGAUGAGAUGGGCAUCAACCACUGUAGGAUUUCUGAACUGUCCCGUCCUUUGGAGAUGAGAGAGACAAAGCUUCUGUCCUUCUGCAACCAGAUGAGAGAGACCUCUACAUCCUUGAGAAAUUGGAGCACGAUUUGACUUGGCCUAGUAUCAUAAUAUCUUUGGAUGUAUACUGAUUAGAACUGACCUUAAACUUUAAACAGUUGAAAAACCUAGAAUAGCCAGUGAAAGUGAGUUUGAGAGAGAGAGAGAGAGAGUUGGGGGGGGGGGGUGGGGGAGGAGUGGGCAGGUGGGCUAAAUUGGAGAGUGUGUCCCAGAUCGAGGGGAAUAAUAUAUUAUCCUUUGAAAUAAAGAAAGACACCAUAUGUAUUGCAAGGGAGAGAAGGACAAAAUAAAGGAUUAGAAAUUCGGAAAAGGCACAAAAGUAAUUUCUUAUCAGGCUUCUUCUUGAUUAUUAUGGUGAUUAUUUUAUGGUGAUCCUAUUAAAUACACCUUAAAAACUUGGGCAAGGAGAUUUUAUGCUUUUGCAUCUUUGACAUGGUGCUUCAAUUGUUAGUUGAAAAAGUGGCAACUAAGAAUUUAAACCAGAGUAAUCUCUCACAUGAGAAUGCUACCUUUAAGCUUCACUAUCCCUCUUUUAAAGGUUAAUAUGCAUCUACUUGCAAUGAUUUAAGCAAGAAUUUAAUACUUAAAAUAUGUAGGAUCUUAUGAUCUUGAUCUGAUCUGGAAGACUUCAGAAGGAUCCUACUUAGCAUCUCGAUCCUGAUAACCUUUUUGUGUGUGUGACAAAGGUUGCCUAGUUUUAAUAUUUAUUGUGAAUUUAUUUGAUCUUAGUUAUAUAUUUGACAGGAGAAAUAUGGAUCCAGUUGUAAAAUUUCUAAUGGGCGACUCCAGAGUGAAACUGCUUUUCUGUUGGGUAAGCAGCUUUCACAUGGAGCUUUUCUUCUCUAUGUCAGUAUCCGUCUUGUCCCUGUGCUCAUAUUGCAUGGAUGGAGACUGACUGGAGAACAUGAAGAUAGAGUAAGGGCAAUUUUACAGUUCCUCAUUAGUUUGGUGUAAGAUUGAUCUUUGAAGCAUAAUGGGCCUAAGAGCCUUGAGUGUAGGACUAGCCUCUUUAAUUUCCGCAAAAGAGUGGAGAAUCGGUCUUUGUUUGCUUCUAUUAUGGAAUCCUGUGGCCUCCUUUGCUUCAGAUGGAAUGAAUAGCUAGUAUUUGUUCUCCAACAAGUUAUAUUCACUUUGAUGCUUCAAGUUGUCCAUUUUAUCCAGUGAGGGUACUCAGCUAAUUAAUAUACUAUAUCAAGUAGUAUGUUAUAUGAAUAAAUUUUCCAUUUUAAUUUUGUGAUUGCAUCGCUUCUACCUGAAUAUAUAUGUAUAUCCUUGGAAGCGAGCCAUAUUUUACCCUGCUUGUUUAAACUUUAUGAUACUUGAAGUCUUUCACAUUAGCAAGAAUCCUUAACAUCCUUGGUUCAGUUGAAAAUUAACUUUGUACCCAUAAUAUGCCCCCCUUUCCAUUUUUGUAUUUUUCCUUAUAUCCUUGGUUUAAUUACACUAAUAUUUUGCUUACAAUGCCCAAUUGGUAAAAGCAUAGACUUAAACCACUGUGAGUAACCGUUUCUUUGGUAGCUAUUCAUUUUGAUAGCUUACCUGGACCAAAGUGGUGCUGUUUGUUCGUGCUUUCAUCUCUCUCAAUUCCUUGCCAAAUCCGCAAUUGUUGACCAAGAUUCAUCCAAAUGGAGCUUUGCUUCAACUUAGGUGAGUGAUUAUGAGUUGUAAUUGUUCCGAAUCCAUUGUUGUUUAUACCGUCUAUUGUUUUUUCUGAUUCUGUUCACCCCCCUUUCUAGCGUUUUUCUUGCUCUUUGGUUAUGCUCUUACAAGAGUGAGUGCCUUUUGCCUCUUCAAGAUUCCUGUGAAGAGUUUUUGGUUUUUGAUUAGUAUUUGAUUACCCUUCAAUAUUGCGUUUCUUACCUUUACAAGUUGUGGUUCUUCUUCUUACAUGCUCAUCGGAAGAGAUGGAUUAUAUUCUGCAUCGACAGCCAAAAUAAAUGGUCAAACACCCAAUUAAAAAAACAAAUGCCAAAAGUGGCAAGGGAGGAAGUGUCUUCUCAGUCGGAUAUGAAUGAAGAUUCGACUAACUCCUAUGAGCAUACUAAUCACAUGAGAAGUGCCACAUGGGGUUGUUAUACAUGUUUCAUGUACAUGUUUGCUUUUACGACUUAUUGAACCUGCUAACCUGUGGCUUCUAACCUGUGAUGGAUGUACUAUCUGCUGAUCAUAUGAUGUCGUUGUGUCAUUGGGUGCAUUGUGCUUGUUUUGGUAGGAAGGAGAGAUGUGUUGUGCAAUUUGGAAAAUUUUGUUACAAGGAUGAAUGCUUGGUGGAUGUACUAUAUUUUGAGUCUCUAUUUAGACUUUAAGCUAAUUCUAGUUUUGUUAUUAAAUGCAUGAAAUCAAAUGUGCAGAGAAAGGAGGUGGAUAAACUUACCUCCUUGCCAAUUGCAUAUUUUGUUGGCUGACAUGAAUAAAUGCGCUUUAGACCAUCCUAAUAGGAAUUAUAUCUGCGUUUCUGUUAUUAAAUGUCGGUUGAUUUCUAUGAGAAUUUAAUGUUGUUCUGAUAAGGCUUCCCAAGGAACAAUUGCUGUCCUCGCUUGGGGCUGUUCCAGACAAAUUUAUCAACAAAAUAAGGCUCAUGUUAAGAAGCUCAUUGGUUUGCUGUUUUCUUACAGAGUAGCAUGGCCUUUCUAUUAAUGCAAGUAUAGCUGAUCUGGAGACGGUCCAAAGGCUGAUUUUGUAUUUGGGAGUAUCCAUCCUGAUUCAGAGGUUGCUGAUAAUAUCAUUUGGAGAACUUCUUCUGCUAUCGAUGUGGAUUCUAUCAAAUCGUUCAGGGAUACGAAGCUGCUGCGUGUUCUUUUUAGUUGUAGUCCAAGUUGAAUUGUAACUCUUUUUUUAGGUCAAGCAUGAUCAGAGAACCAGCUGGAUAUUUUUGUGGGAAGAAGAGAAUUCGUAGGGUGAUCCCACCAUAUCUAUUGUAAUCAUCUAAGUUGGUUGUACCUCUUCUCUCUUUUCUUUUUGAACCUUAUACCAACUUUGUUGCUAAUGUGCUGUUGGUUUUCUGUUGUAAUCAUCUAGUGCCAAAUGAAGAGAGAUUUGUGGACCUCAUUUAAAGCAAAAAUACUUUUCAAUAUCUUUCUUUAAGUACAUUUGGUUCGUCCUCAUUGGAAAACCAAGAUAAUACUAUUGGCUAUAGAACACAAGUAGAUGGUCCGGGGGAAAUAUAUGAACUGGCACUCAUCACAUUUAACUUUACUUUGUGUAAGGAAGAAUAGAAAAUACUGUUUGUGCUACUGUGAGAAAGAGCAACACAAUGGCUGCGGGAACGGACAAGAAAGCCCAAGGACUAUGGAAAUAUUCCCUCUUCAGUUUCGCGAUCCAGACGUUCCACUUAUUCUUGUAAUGUGCAUUCACAUUUGGGAAGAUCUCGGAGUAAUAGGAAUCGGAUACAGCGACAUGGUCACCGAUCUUGUUGAACAUCUGUGCAAUAACCUUGUCAUCGCCUAGGUAGUUCUUAACAAUCCCUGCGUGGCGAAGCACCUCGACGUCCUUUGAAGAGCUUAUGAGGCAAUCCAUGAAGGUCACGUAAUCCGUGAAGUAGUUGAUGUCUCUGCUUUGACGAUGCUGCUCAUAUGCGAUCAGGUUUCGAAAAUUUGAUUCGGUGUCAUCCUCUACAUACAAGACCAGUAACUCGAGUGUCCCGUUCUUGAAUUUGAUGUCGCUCAGUUCGCGCCCUUGCGCAGCCCUAAACCUGACUCCUGACUCCCUUAGCUCAAUCGCCGAGGGCAUGACUGACCUGACUACUGACUUCCUUAGCUCAAUCGCCGAGGGCAUGACUGGUAUGCAGUUCAGCUGGGGCGUUUCAGGCAAGCCAGAAGUGUACCACGCAUGAUAUAGAUGCAGAAGAUGUUCCCAGCGCCAAUCGUCAAAUUUCGGCUGGGGCUUUUUCGUUCACCUGGAAGUACAUGAUUGCGACUUUGCUGAACUCAUGAUGCUCGUCCUCAGUCAGGUCAUAUGGCUUGCUCAAGACGAAAAGUGGGAGUUGGUUCUCUAGCAGCUGUAAAUCGCGCCUGAUGCUAUUUAUAAUCCCACGUCCACGCAUAACCGGGUCGUCUCUGUCUGUCGGUAUCAUAUUAUUGUACUUACGGAAGAACUCAAUGAUGAAACAGCCAUCAAUGAGCAUCAUCGCAAGAAACUUUUCUUGGGAGAGGUUGAUGGUUUCCGCAUAGCAAUUACGUGCCCGCUCUUCCAGUUCCCUGAGAGUCGGCAUAUAGCUAUCAACGCUCUCCUUUCUCCUCUCAAGCAAUUGCUGCAGGUAUCGCAGUUUUUGCUCCUCCAUGAAUUUGAACUUGCCAUUUUCACAGUGAUAAGGGCCGAUGGCUAGGAUCUCUGGGUCAUAGGCUUUCUCGUUGACUUUGCGCAGUUGAUGACGAACCCUAAAUAUACUACGCUCCGACAAAGUG